UGAAUGUCGGCUAGCCUUACCCCCAUUUAUGGGGAGGCUGCUCCCAAGUCUCGAACCCGAGACCUACCGCUCAUGGGCGAAGGCACUUGCCAUCGCACCAAGUGCGACCUCUCAUGAACUGAAGUAUUGGUGAAAUUUAUAUAAAGAUAAGUUGCUUCCCAGGAAUUAGAAAUAAUCCACAUAUAUGGUGAGAGCAAAGUUGUGUUUUUAUGUAACACCAAAAUGCACACAAGGUAGGGAAAAGGGCACCAACCGUAAAGGUAGAUUAAGUAAAUCAACUUUCAUGAAAGAUAAACUGAUACUCAGCCAAUUUUUUCAAAGUGGUGACCAGUGACAAGGUUCUAUCGCAACUAGUAUGCUACUGAAAACCCAUUCAAUGAGAAAACCUAGAACAAUAGGUACAAAAUUGACUUACGGAUUAAUUUGUUUUUCAUGUGAAGAGAUAAUAUACACACACGUGUGUGGAAGUCACUACUAUUGGAUUUGAUUUUUCUAUUAUGGUCAAACUAUAUAUGGUUCUAAAGUAGACCCAAAUGAUUAAAGGGUUACUGGUCAUAGAAAUUGACAUGUGAGAGUGAGAGUAAGAUGGAGAUGAUACCUGACAGUCUGAUCAGUGUGUAUUCCAACAAGAAGAAAAUCCCCAAGCUCUCGUGCUUUCCUUAAGAUCUAUAUGAAAAAGAUGGCCAUGUAACCAAAAGGUCAGUUUUUUCUCCCUCAAUAGCUUAUCAAAUCUAAAGUAAAAAUUGGAAAACAAAAGAAAAACAGACAAGAAGACCGUAAUGGCAUGAAUAUAGUAGAAUGAACAAAAAAAAAAAAAAAAAUCCCACGUCUAACAACAAUGGUGCAGAUAUAAUGUGUAAUGUGUCUGUGUUGUGUGUUUAGGUUUGUGUGUGUGUGUGUGUGUGAGAGAGAGAGAGAGAGGUGGCAAUUUUCAGGAAUCAGAUCACUCUAAAUAGAGUAAAGGAUACUGUAAGAGAGUAAAGGAUAAAUAUCAUGUGAGCAAACUCAUCCACAUUACCUCCACAUGUCCAGCAUGGAAAAGAUCAAAUGCACCAUCUAUAUAAAUUAUGCGCGCAUCCGAUUCAGGCCCCUGCAGUCAGGCAUAAACCACUAAAAAGUGACAAAGUAGUAAUGCAAUGCCAGAGUGUGGCACUUAAAAUAAGUAUAUGUGAUAAUGUGACGUAGAAAUCAAGUUUUGUCUUUCCCCUUUCAUCUCCCUUGUUUAUAAAGAGACGAACUUCGGAAUCUAAGUGAGGGAUUGAAUACUAAAAGUUGCUCCACUUCAAACAACCAGCAGAGAAACAGUUACGGAGACAACAUUACCUUUCCAUUUGAAAACUGAACAAUUCUUCGAGAUGUCGGUAGGAAAUGAGACACACGGGUUCCACUUCCAGACCCACCAUCUUCAAACUUCUGGCUGUGACCGUGGCUGAAUUGUCUUUGCAAGGAAGAAUGCUGUUGGAUUUCACUAACAGAUCUCUCUCUUACACAGAGAAGCAUACGACCUAUACACAGCAUUAGCAAAUAACGAAGUUAGACUAACAAAAACAACUGUAAUUCUAUACAGAACAUAAGUAUUCAUUAUUUAAUCAGCUCCAAUGCUAGAAAUAGAACUAACCAACAAUGUCGGUGCUGGAAACGCCUUCUGUCCGCUUGAUCUGCUUGUAGCGACCGGCCUUCUUCGCAAGAGCAUAAGCAUCAGUACCAUCAGGAAGCACACAUGGGUCAUCUCCAUGAAUGAUAUAGUCAAUAUUGUAUUCAUCAAACAGCUUCUUCAUGAACUCUUCGGUUAUGGCAUAAGGUGCAUCUGGAAUCACCUCAUCAACCCAUUUCACAGCAUUAACCAUAAUCAUCCUAAUUAAGACAACUAAUUAGGAUUAACCACACGUUCACAUAAUGCCAUAACCCAAAAUUUCGAAUCUAAUCAGCUCCAUUAACACAAAAAGUCGGUACCUUUCGUUGAGAGGAGUCACAGGGGGGCCUUUAUUGACGAUGAUUUCGGCGUCGCUGACGACCCCAACGACCAAUUGGUCGCCCAGAGCGCGCGCCUGACGGAGGGCGUUGCAGUGGCCGUAGUGCAUCAUGUCGAAGCAGCCGUCCAUGUAAACCCGCACGGGUCUGUUCUUCUUCCUCCGCCAUCGAAGUCCCAGAGGAAGCUGAGGUCCGCCGCGUUCUUGUGAACCCAGAAGCGACACCCCGACGCCGACCCCCACCGCCACCACCGCCCCACCGGCGAGACACGUGGCCAGAAACCUCGCCCAGCUUCGCGCGUUCUCUGAGUUCCCAUCUUCCAAACCCAUCUCGCAGCUUCCGAAAUUUCCCAAAUGAAAUCAAACGAAAGUGAUAGCUUCAGUUAUUUGAUACAACCCAACAUUUCUUUUCGGGUAUCGAAUCGGGAAAUCGAAUAAAGUCGGGCACUUUCUGAUUUGCAAAUUGUUGGGUUUGGUUCGGGGUUCCCCUCACUUUUCUCUCCCACGCUCAAUUUUCUCACUUUUUCUUUUUCUUGUGCGGCGGGUGAUUCUUGGUCUGGGGCUGCAGUCCAACUCAAAGUUUUGAUUUUUAUUGGGUCAAACAGAUUCUGAGUUGGACUUUGUUAAGCCCAUUUUUCUUUCUUCAAAAUUAAGUUAGUUGCGCCAAAAAAAUUAAUUGAGUAAAUUUUGUAAGUUAUUAUUGAUUUUUGGCAUUUUAUUCAAAAUAGUUCGGAGAUUGAUAUAACUCUUCAUUUUGAUAGCAGUGGACUGAGUUUGUCCACCAUCAAUCAUUUUAGUCAUUCGUUAAAUAUCUUUGUUUCUAUAAGGACCAAAAUAAUAGGAAUAUCCUUAAUUUAGCAAACAAUAUAUCAAAAUGAUUUAACAAAAUUUGAGAGUAUUUUUAGUAUUUUGGUCUUAUUUAAAGGAGCAUUCUCACGGAAUGAUUAAAAGUCAUUUUGGCUAAAAAAAAAAACCUUGAAUUUAGUCUACUUUGUUGAUUGAUCCAUUCACCAAUUAUCAACAUGAAUUUAUUUGUAUAAAAUUUCAUUCACCAAUUAUCAACAUCAAUUUAUUUUUAUUAAAUUGCGAUAAAUGUUAUCACAGAUCAUCUUUUCAUCUCUUCUUCAAAUUCGUAAAGAUGUUUUAAAAAGACAAUGAAAAAAGUGAAAUAUAAAAAAGGAGAUGAGGAGUGGAGAUUUGAAAGAGGUAGAAUCCUACUCCAAUUUUGUAAACUUGCACUAAACCAGAUGAGUUGAAAUACAAUUAACUUAAAAGUUUAAAAAUAACUGCAUCGGUGAGUGGAGGGUGGUGGGCGGUGGGCCGGUGGCGUGGACUUUACUACUCUCUGUUUCGUUUAUUCCCUUUCAAAUUCCGUUAUUCCACCGCAACUCCCCUCUUCCUCUUCCUCUUCCUCUUCCUGCCGACGAACUCAGAAAGCUAGAGAGAGAGAGAGAGAGAGAGAGAGAGAGAGAGAGAGAGAGAUCGCCUUGGAUUGGUCUUGCUCACAAGCAACCAUGGCUUCUACGGAGGGUAUAGUACCAAUAACCAGGGCUUUUCUCGCGUCCUACUACGACACGUACCAAUUCCCCGCUCUCUCAAACGACGUCGCUCGCCUCUCCUCCGAGAUUCGCUCCUUCACCGCCGAUUUGCUCCACCACUCUCCGGCGGCUCAAGGUCAUCGUGAUUUCAAAACCCUCUUGAAAAUUUUACAUAUUUUUGCUAAAGUGAUCGUCUUUUUUCAAAUUUUUUUUCUUGCAAUUUAUAAAAUUUCAGUAUUUUGGAGAAUGAAUGAAUAAAACGGGUGUGGUUUUUAGGCGAGGAGAGAUUGUUAGUGAGUGAAUUGGAGAGUGAACCGCCGCACAAAGUCGACGAAAACAUGUGGAAGAAUCGAGAGCAUAUGGAGGAGAUACUGUUUUUGCUUGAAAAACCCCAUUGGCCUCAAACUGUAAGUCUAAGCUAAGUUAAUGUAAGCGGUUUUUGCUGCGAAAGAUGCUGCCUUUUCGUUGUUUUUUAAUUCGUGUUUGGUUGGGCAGCUUCGAGAGCAGUCGAGUCCUGAUGAUGCUGAACUUGCUACUGUGAUUGAUCGCCUCCGCCAGAAAUUUCAAACCAGUUUGAAGACACUGGAGUCUUUCCAAGCGAAAAUUCCGAACGUGUGUUCAACACGGGUUAGUUCCCUAUCGCUUGCCCGUGUUGUGUUUAGAUGAGGUAUUCGUGAAUCUGCUUUGAUCAUAAUGGAAUUGCUGAAUCUGCCUGCAGUUAUGACUUACAUUCCUCAGGAUUUUCGGGGGAGGCUCAUCAGACAACAGCGGGAGCGUUCAGAGAGGAAUAAGCAAGCAGAGGUUGAAGCUUUGGUUAGUUCUGGGGCAACUAUACGUGAACGUUAUGCUCUCUUGUGGAAUCAGCAAAUGGAGAGGUGAGACUCCUUUCGUUUGGCAGUCAGGUUAAAAGCAACAUGUGCUCCACCUUACGUUCUACUUGGCCGAAAAACUUUUCAGGAGGAGACUGUUAGCGCAGCUUGGUUCUGCAACUGGUGUCUACAAGACGCUUGUCAAGUACUUGGUUGGGGUUCCACAGGUAUGCUCCUCUACGCAGUUGCUUGCCACAUUAUUCGCUGGGUUUGCCUACUACUCCAUAUCCACUGCUGGGUUUCGACCCGAAUGUCCACUGCUAGUUUGUUCAUUGGCAUGGUUAAUGUUCUUAAUGUCGUGAUAAAUACUUAACAAUUUUACUUGCCUAUCUGCUUAGAUUUCUCGUUCUGCAUUUGUAUGUGUCAGUGAGGUGGUUAUUCAAUGGAGCUUCUAUUUAUAUUAUUUGUAGAUGAACUUCAAAAGUAUGUUUUAUUGACUCCAUGUGUUGGUAACUGUUCCUGCGCUUCCUUUUGGGUGCAGGUUCUACUUGAUUUUAUUUGCCAAAUAAAUGAUGAUGAUGGGUAAGAUUUUCGUGGUUGUAGUUUAAUUGCAUUUUCUAUGGUAAAUUAAUGUCUCAUACACUUAUUGUAUCCUUCAUUAAUAGGCCCAUGGAAGAGCAACGGCAACGUUAUGGACCCCCUUUAUACAGCCUUACAACUAUGGUGCUUCUUAUACGACUCCUUAUUUCGCUGUCUUGGGGGCGCUUUGAGAAUAGAAAAUUGUGAGAAUCUUUUUAUCUUUGGCUUUUAUGUUCAAGAUGUAGUUCUAUUUAUCUUUACGGUGACUCUUUUAUUUUAUGACUUGGGCAGAAAGAAGCCAGAGUUAGCUGUCUUGGAAGAAGCUGUUGAUGUCUACACCACUGAGUUUGAAAGGUUUAUUACGUUCAUCAGGUAUUACUCCUAUCAAUUUAUAUACCCCUUCCUUUCGCUAAGGUUUUGAUUUGACUAUCCUUUUGAUCCAUAAAAAGGUGUCGAGGUAAAAAAUUGCUAAUCAUGGUUGCUUGUGUAUUACACGCAUAAUAGAACUCGCACACUUGAAAACCCAAAAUAAAGCUGUGUUGUCUUAUUGGGCUGCAAGCCUGUUUUUCCUUUGUCCUGCUGCUAGGUUGUGCUAUAUCAAUUUACAUAUGCAUUUUUUUUUUCAGUGAGGUCUUUGCAAAUUCCCCCUUUUUUAUCCCAGCAGAGGUUGCGGGCGCAUUAGAAGGAAGGUGAGGCACUGAAGCUCUAAACUAUCUUUUGUAAUUUUGAAAUAAGAACUUUUGCUAAUUUCUUCUGUAUAGGAAUAAUGAUGAUUACCAAGAGACGAGUGUUCCAGCUGGGAAAACUCAUGAGGUCUGUUUAUAUAUCUUGUGAUACUUGUUCUUUUUCCUCAUGACUGAAGAUGCUUUGUGUUCACAUGCAUGUGUGUAAAUCUAUUGAUUUAUUUCUUAACAACGCUGGCCGUUUAACUAUUACCCCAGCCGGUAAUAAAUGUGGCUUCAUUACUCUUAUAGGUUUUAUUGGCUGUGGAUGCGAUAAAUUCAUAUAUUGCUUGGGAUUUCUCGCUUGUACAGGGGAAGAUAAACUUGGUAUUGUUCCUAAACGUUGUUGGUCAUAUGUUGUUUACUUAAAGUUUUUACAGUGUAAAUUCCAUAUUGAGAUUUAUGUUUGUUGGUCAGGAUAUUGGAUUUAGUGUCGAGUACACAAAUUCUUCUGGGGAAAAAUCUGUAAGUUUAACUAUGAUGUCUCCGUUGUUAAUUACUAUGUUUACUUUGGUCUCCUCCUCUUCAACCUUUGUAUUGUUGCUUCCUUUUUCACUUUCUCAUUUCUGUUUCUAACUUAAUUCUUUUCUUGUAAUUACUUUGGGGCAUUGCUGGUUUUACCACAGCUCAUUUUACCUUACCGACGCUACGAUUCUGACCAAGUAAGUUUUGCUAUUUCGGGCUUUUUGUGGUGUUAGAUCAUUUGUGAUAUUAAAUGUCCUGGCCUCAAUAUGAGUGUUCGUUUACAGGGAAACUUCUGCACAUGCGAGGCUGGAAUCUACAAACUGAUUUGGGACAAUUCCUAUUCAAAUUUUUUUAAGAAGGUGCGCAGACAUGUUUCGGUAUCUUCUAUAUAUUCUUAUUUUGUUCUACUACGCCAGUUUACGUAUUCUUGCUUGAAAACGACUGGGCCUUAGAUGCUACUUGAAAGCUUUACUUUGAAGUUUGAACCGUUAAGUUUUGUUGGAUCAUAACUCAUUAUCAACAGAAUUGGCGUCUUUUCCAUAUAUUCUGUUACAUUUAUAUUCAAUCAUCGUUUGUUACCGCAUAUAGUGGCUGCCAAGUCUCCAUCUCUACAAAAGUAGCUAAGGUAGUCAGAUGACUUUAAUAUGAACUUGAGAGAUCGAAAGUGAAAUCUGACCAUUUUUCAAUCUUUAUCAUGAACUGACGCUCCGAUUAGAAGAUGCGACUAUGGGACAGAGGUUCAGGGCCGAAGGGGUAGAGGAAGACCUAAGAAAACUUUGGAAGAGACUCUAAGAAAAGACUUAGAGUACUUGGAUUUAACGAAUGACAUGACACAGGACCGAGCACAAUGGCGUUCUAAGAUUCAUGUAGCCGAUCCCACUCAGUGACUUGGAUUUUCCAAGUCUCCAACCGAGAAGUUUUCCUCACUCAGGAAAUUAAGGGAACACUACCUCAACCUACAUGCUCCACUCACAAAGCUCCAACAAAAGAAAAUUCAAAGAACUUAGAGAAGAAGGCUUUGGUGUAUUUAACACAAUACGUUGAAAAUGAAGGAAAGCUUAUUUAUUGAUAUCCCCGAUAAGCUACAAAUAUGUACAUAUACAUGAGUCAAAAUAAACAAACAAGAGAGAGCCUUCACAAAGGUUGCUUAGGAGAAGUCGCAGCAGUCGGUAGAGCCCCAGAAAGAGAAGGCACCGGAGGGGGAUCAUUCGGAGCCUCAGUACUGGACAGAACCCUAGAAGGAGGCAUCAGAGGUUGAUCAUUUGGAGCUUCAUUACGCGGUACAGCCCCAGAAGACGAAGGCAAUAAAUGCCUUUGGAACAAACCCACAAAUCUCUGAUGAUCAAGUAAAACCUGACCAUCAGAUUCCUUCAUCUGGUCCAGCUUCCUCUUCAUGUUUGUAGCAUAGUCAUGUGCGAGACGGUGCAACUGUUUAUUCUCAUGCUUGAGCCCUCUAAUCUCCUGUUUGAGACUCAUCACUUCAGCCGCCAAUGAUUCAACUUGGCGGGUUCGAGCAAAUAGGCGUUGGGCCAUAUUAGACACAGAACCUGCACACUGAACACUGAGAGAGCCAGAGAAUCCUUAACAGCUAACUCAUCAGAUCGUUUGGAAAGUAGUCUGUUAUCUUUGGGAGUGAGAAGGUUCCUGGCCACCACCGCAGCGGUCAUAUCAUUCUUCAUAACGGAAUCCCCAACGGUAAGAGGACCAGUAGGGGAGACGAAGGAUGGGCGCCAUAUGUUGUCUGGAGAAGGCGGGGCUGCCUCUUCAACAAGGUUCAAGUCAAAACGACGGUCGGAGGGGCCAGACAUUUUCAAAGGUGUUGAAGAGAGAAGAGGUCGAACAAAUCAAGAUCUUAGAAGUGUAAGAAUGGAGCUUCUACUGGGGGAGAUUCAAGUGUGCUUUGGAACUUAAUGCCAGCCCCUAUAAAAAUCUGCACUCGACGGAGCUUCAGAAAUCGAAGAGGCGCCUGCUCAGAAAUCGAAGAGGCGUUUGCUUUCUCAAAAGCUGGGCUGCUCAGAGACCACGAGGGUCGAUCUCAGAAAUCGAAGAGGCGUCUGCUUUCUCAAAAGUUGGGCUGCUCAAAGACCACGAAGGCCGAUCUCAGAAAUCGAAGAGGCGCUUGCUUUCUCAAAAGUUGGGCUGCUCAGAGACCACGAGGGCCGAUCUCAGAAAUCGAAGAGGCACCUACUUUUCCAGCCUUGGCAGCACCUGUCACACGCACACUCAGCUUUGCGGAAAUUAUGGGCAUUCUGUCGAAGACUUCUGGUGAAGUAGAAAGCACAUGAGUCUUACUGUUCAAUCACCCACUUCCCACACGCAAUAGUAGCUCAUGUGUAUCACAGAUAACUUUGCCAAAGUUCUCUGCCAAAGUUGAGCACGUGAAGCUUGCAGCUUCCACUACAUCGCUCUGACCAAGACGGGUAAAAGAAUAGCAAAGAAACAGCACUAACAAAGUUUAGACACAUAAAUUUUGAAGGUCUAGCUACCCCAUAUUAUUACCCACAAGGGUAAAGGAACAGUAUCACUGCUGGAUAAUUGGAAAGUCCCUGUGUGUCAACCUCUGUGCUUCGUGGCAAGGUAGACUAGCAAACAUGCCCAACCUUUACUCACAUUCGAGAAAACACUCCCAACAAGAUUGCUUGCUCCAAAAUCGAAGAGGCACCGUCCUCCGAAUCUCGAGAGCCAGACUCCCAACAUGACUACUUUCUCAAAAAUCGAAGAGAGGGUAAAGGAACAGUACCAUUGCUGGAUAAUUGGAAAGUCCCUGUGUGUCAACCUCUGUGCUUCGUAGCAAGGUAGACUAGCAAACAUGCCCAACCUUUACUCACAUUCGAGAAAACACCCCCAACAAGAUUGCUUGCUCCAAAAUCGAAGAGGCACCGCCCUCCGAAUCUCGAGAGCCAGACUCCCAACAUGAUUACCUUCUCAAAAAUCGAAGAGACACCGCUCUCCGAAUCUCGAGAGCCAGACCCCCAGCAGGAUUGCUUUCUCAAAAAUCGAAGAGACAUCGUUCUCCGAAUCUCGAGAGCCAGAUCCCUGAUAGGAUUGCUUGUUCGAAAACCGAAGAGGCAACACUUUCCCAACUACAAGAGCCGGAUCUCCUUGGAUAAAGCUGUCUGUAAUCUUCACACGCAACAUCAUUUUUCCACAUACCACAGACCACUUUUUCAAAGUGCUCUGACAGGGUAAAGGAAUAGCAUUACUACUUGUUGUUAAGGAGACUCCUAUAUAUGUCAACCUCCAUCCCCAACGGACAGACAGACCUGCAAAAAUGCUCAACCCUUCCUCAUAUAUGAGAGGGCACUCUCAACGAAGCCUUUCGAAAUAUUCAGCUUUCUUUCCCCCCGAUAAUACCUCUGCAAACAAGUUAUACUAGAGCAAGAAUAUCUCAUAUCAUCAGGGUUAAAAGCAAGAGUAUCCCAUAUCAUGCUUUUUCCCUGUCUUUUCCUUUGGCCUUGUUCUUACCUGCAAGACAAGGAGAAAGAGAGCAAUCAGUCAGCACUUGGAAUCAAGCUUCCAGCCAGGAACUGACUGCCUGGAACUUACUUACCUGGCAUUGCUCUCGAGUACUCAUCUUCAACAUCUUAUGCUUCCAGGGAAGAUACCGCAUCUGCCUGAGGAACAGAUAGGGCAAGUGAGAAGGAUACAAGGAAGCAUGUGGAGACAAGCGUAACAGCACACGUGCCGAUACAUCCAUUACUCUGUCAAAGCAAAAGUAUCCCAUAUCAGUAGGGUCGAACGUACUCUAGAUUUGAUGGACUUGUUUUGACCCUCAAAUUCUUCAGUCGGCCUUAUACUCUGGAGGAAACCAGAAAACCCUCCAGCUCAGUUCAAGAAUAAGCCUGUGGAAAGUUACUUCUUCAAAAGCAAAAGUAUCCCAUAUCAUCUCUUCUCAUUUUUCUUCUCUUUAUCCUUCAUGCUGCCUGCAAGAUAGGGAGAAUGUGAACAAUCAGCCGGAGCUCUGAUUGCUUACCUUGUCUGUCACCUCUUUCAGCAAAUCCCCUAGCUCGGCAACUUGAGGGACUCCUACUACAUGGUUUGUAUCGCGCUUGACCAAGCCUGAAACUACAAGUAAGCUUCAAGUGAAAUUGAUACAUUACCUUGUGCAUCUCCACCAGUUAAAGAUACCACCCCUGGAUGGAGGAAGAGUACUUCCAGAGAAGAUGCCACAUCUACCUGUGAGACAGAUAAGGCAAGUCAAGACGAUACCACAUUCCGAUACUUAGAAGUUUCGUGAUUACGAGAUCAUUCUCCCACAAUAUUUCCUAAUGUCAUUUGUACUAAAUCAUUCACCUGUACUCACUAAAGGAAAGCUUGAACCUAUGUACUUGUGUAAACCCUUCACAAUUAAUGAGAACUCCUCUAUUCCGUGGACGUAGCCAAUCUGGGUGAACCACGUACAUCUUGUGUUUGCUUUCCUAUCUAUAUCCAUUUAUAUACUUAUCCACACUAAUGAUCGGAGCAAUCUAGCGAAGAUCACAAAAAGCGACCGUUUUCGCUACCUAGGAUAUAUCGUGCAAAGAGAACGGAGAAUUAGAGAGAUCUCAACCAUAGAAUAGAAGUUGGAUAGAUGAAGUGUAAGAGUGCAUCCGGCGGGUUGUGUAACCGUCGUAGGCCACUGAAGCUCAAGGGAAAAUUUUAUAGGACGGCAAUAAGGCCAGCGAUGUUGUAUGGCACAGAAUGUUGGGCGGUGAAGCAUCAACACGUACACACAAAAUGGGUGUGGCGGAGACGAGGAUGCUUCGUGGGAUGUGUGGGCACACAAGAAAUGAUAAGAUUGGAAAUGAGGAUAUUCGAGGUAAAGUAGGAGUGGCCGAAAUUGAAGGAAAGAUGAGAGAAAAUCGGUUCCGGUGAUUUGGACAUGUGCAAAGAAGGCCUACUGAUGCUCCGGUUCGAAGAUGUGACUACGGGACAGAGGUUCAGGGCCAAAGGGGUAGAGGAAGACCUAGGAAAACUUUGGAAGAGACUCUAAGAAAAGACUUAGAGUACUUGGUUCUAACGGAGGACAUGACACAAAACCGAGCGCAAUGGCGUUCUAGGAUUCAUAUAGCCGACCCCACUUAGUGGGAAAAGGCUUUGUUGUUGUUGUUGUUGUUGUUGUAUCAUGAACUGAUCGCAUUUGAAUUCUACAUGCAUCAUUGUUAUCUUUUGGUACCCGUUUUGAGCCGAUGUUUCUUGUUUGGUACGUCCAAUAUGGGAAUUUUCUUACAUUUUUAUCCUUUCAUCUUCUGGAACAUAGGUUCUGCGCUUCAAGGUAGAUUGCAUACCGCCAGUUGCAGAGUCGGUGCAAACUGCGAACGAGGUUGAAGAAUGAGUGUUGUUGCAUCUGCGCAGAUUGAAGAGUGGACGUUUUAACUUCAUGCCGCAUGGAUGCUCGCACUUUUCCGUCAGCAUUGAAUUGUAUCACGUUAUUCAUUUCGUUUUUUUUACGUUGCAUCAUCAGGGCAUGCGAUGGUUGGAUGGUGCACAGAAUGUUGUAUUAUAAAUCCUUCGUAUAUUACAUAUCUGCCCGACAGCCAGUUAUCGAAAAUUCAAGUCCAUCAGCAAAAUUCCGUGACCAUUUAUUUGUCGAAAAUUGUAACCGAAAAGUUUUGAAGUGCCGAAAAAGUCCGUUCCUUUCUUUGCGCAUCACCAUUUACAGAGAGGGGAGCAUUUGCUUAUCUGCAAAAGGGCAGAGGGAGUCCCACUUGAUUUCUUUAUUUCUGUAAAGGCCCGUUAAAAAUUUGGCUUUCAGUGACAACUAUUGUCUCAUGACUAAAGGUACAAAAUAUUGUGAUUAAAACAUUUAGUCACGAAAAAGAUCUAUAAAUGAGACUGAAGCCUCCGUGACUAAUUGAUUUGUCACCAAAACAACACAUUGACUAACUAAAAAGGUGUUAGACCAUCUCAAAUUUCUGGGUUAAAACUUAAAAAUUUUAAGCCAGAAAAUUUAGGUUUUAAACCUUUAUGGGUUAAAUUUUUAGCCCGCUAUUAUUAAAAAGUGAAUUUAGGAUAAUUUUUUUCUUAAAGUAUCUUUUUUUUUAAAUAUGUAGGCUAUCAUAAUUUAAUUUUAUGAACAUUUUAACCUUAAAAUAUUUAGAUUCCGAUAAAUAUUGAAAAAGGAGAAAUUAGGUUUAUAUCCUUCUUUUUGUUACUCCAUUGAUUAAAAUCCUUUUCAUUUUUAAUUUUUUAUCAAGGUCCUUGGUAUUAAUAACAUCAUUAAUUAUUUGAAUAAUAAAAUAUUUUUAUUUUUAAAUAUAUUCCUUUAGUGUUAAAAAUGUUACAAUUAGUAUGUUUAUAUUUAUGGCUAAAUUUUUUAUCAUGUAUUUUUAUUUUUAGUUUGUACCUAUUUUUAAUUUGCAAAUAUUUUUUUUUAAUUUGUACCUAUUUUCUUUUCAUUUUUAAUUUGUACUCAUAUAUUAGUUUCUUUUUGUGCCCAUAUUUUUUAAAGGUUUAUUUUUGUUUGUACCCAUGUGUAUACCGUCACGUGACAUUGUAUAUUUAAUCAAUGAUAGAAAAAUUACAUAUGGUAUAUUUAUGUUUUAUGCCUAAACUUUGUAUCAUAUAUUUAUAUUUUUAGUUUGUACCCACUUUUAAUUUGCAACAUUUUUUUUUAAAUUUGUAGUAUUUUCUUUUUAGUUUUAUUUUGUACCCAUGUAUUAAUUUCUUUUAGGGCCUAUAUUAUUUAAAAAUUCAUUUGUACUCAUAAUUUUUUAAUCUUUUAUAUGUACCCUAAUUUAUUUAUAAUGUACCCAUUCUUCUUUAUUAAUGUACAUAUGUGUAAUGAACCAAUUUUUUUGUAAAAUGUACCAAUUUUUUUAACACUAUGGAUACAUUCUUUUGCCAUUUAUUAUUUCUUAUUUUUACAUAGUUUUUAUCCAUUUAUUCAAUCAAAAUGUUUGAAUUCUUUUAUUGUAACUGUUUCUAAUAGUAUUAUUGUCACAGCCCGUCCCGGAAUUAUUAAUUCCGAGGACGUGGAAUUACAAAAAUGACCUCAAACGGGAUUAAGGUGCGUAAAUUCGACAUUAGUUUUACCUAAAGUUCCUAAACUAUUGUUAAUUAGAAUAUUAAUUAGUGUUAGGAACUUAAACUAGGACUUAGAUUUACAUUUCUAUGUAUUAAUUUUGUGUUUGGGGGUUUAGGUAGGGCCUCACACCCUAAUUCCCUCCCCAUUUCCCGUAUACUGUCACUCUCUCUCUUCCUCAGACACUCACUCUCUCUCUCUCCCUCUCGAACGUACAAGCAACCACCAAAACCACCCAAAACUUCUACCAUCGUCAGAUUUAAGGCUACCAUUGCAUUCCUGAGGACUCCACGAUCACGUAGGGUUUCUAAAGAUCCCAUAAUGUGUACUGUUCACGAGCUUUGAAUUGGUUGUGUUUUAGGCCAAACUAAGCUCACAAUGAGCUUUAGGAAGUCCCAAGGAAGCUCGGAGUGUGUCGUUUGGAAGUUUUGGACGUCGGAAUCACCUAGUUCGACGUUUGGCCGAUUUCUUGAAAUUUUGGAAGGUAUGAUCCCGUGGUUUUUAGUGCUUAAAACCAUUCCAUCGUGGUUCUACAUGUUAAGGGCUUCGAUUUGGUAUAAAAUUCGAGAAAAAUGGACGAAAAACGUGUGAGAAUAGUUAAUUUGAAAAAUUCCUAGUUUUCCGGUGACCGGAGUCCGGCGAGAGACCAUCAGAGAAGAAACAGGAAUAUUCUGUUAGUUUUAACGGAAUAUUCCUAACGGCGUUAACGGUACCGUUAGGUUUUAACGGAAUAUUCCUGACGGCGUUAACUGACGCCGUCAACAUGCAACGCACGUGGCCGCGCGUGGGGGCGCGUAGACCCGUGCCCAAUUCGGCGCGUGGGGGCGCGUGAGACGUAGAAAAAUUAUUUUAAAAAUAGUACGAUGCUCGUGAGGUUGUGUAGAUCGCGUUAGAGUAUUUAUUUGUCAAAAUUGAGCAUCGUAUGAGGAAUUAAUUGCCUAGUUUCGUUUAUGCGCUUUAAAUGACGUUUUAUAGUUGUUUCGCAUAUAGGUGAGACUUAUAGCGAGGACGAGCACAUCCAGGGGCGUCAAGGGGGUUACGACCCGGCAACAUACCAGUGAGUGGGCAUUGCUUUCUAUAUAUAUACCUAUAUACUCGAUUUCCCCAGAAAUCAACUUAAAUGAAAAGUAUGUUGAAAUGAGAUAUGAAAUAUAGUUUGGUUUGCCAUGCAUAGAAUUUCAUGAAUAUUAUGAAUUGUUAAAUGAUGCAUAUAUGUGAAAUGGUGCUGUGGACGCACAGGUGAGUAUCAGGUGAGUAUUAUUACUGUUAUGAUGAUGUUGAGAUAUGUUGAGCUCAUAAACUGCACCUUGGUAUUAGUGCUUAUAUUAUUCACCCUGCAUCGCACGCUCACCUUGGAUCCAAGUAGAUGCUAGUCGUACAGACCACUAGGGGUGGUUCCGACAUGCCAGUCGUAUAGACCAUUAGAAGGGUUCCGACUGGUAGGUGACCUUAGAUUAUGUGCACAGAUGAUUGAUGAGAGAAGCACUAGAGCGUAACAUUAACCAUUAAGUCGUAUAGACUACAUUAGAUAGUUCCGACUUAUGUGCAGUGUAAUGCCGUACAGGUCAUACUAGGUGACUCUGGCUAGAUGAGAUUUUGAGCUCUAGAUUCAGCCGUACAGGACCAUUGCAGGGUCUCCGGUUGAUUUAUCUUUCCACCUGAUUUAUGUUAAUGCAUUCAUACUAAACUGUUGAAUUUGAUAUGGCACAUUUUCUAUUGAAUCUGUUAUGAGAUUGAUGAUUGAGAUGGUUGAGAUAUAUAUGUUUAUAUACUAUUUUUCUGGGAAAGUAUACAGGUUUUCAAAGAGGGGUUAUAAAUGUGGAUUUAUGAAAUGUUUUGGAAAAGCUUUAUUUUCGCCCACUCACGUUUUCUGUUUUGCGCCCCUCCAGGUUCUAGUUGAGGCGUUGGUGGCCUACGAGGACUUCUUUGGCGUUCUGACAGACUAAAUAAAUGUAGGAUUCACCCGAGGGUGUUGUAAAUUAAUUAUGGUCCUACUUGACUGCACCUAGACGCUUAUGCUCUGUUUAUGUGUGUUUAGUACACUCUUAUGCACAUAGAAUACUAGGUUGUUAAUAACUGCAAUUAGUGGUUUUUGUUGGUUCGUAUUUUGUUAUAUUAUCGUUUCCGCCUGCACUUAUGGUUACGUCACGCUCACGUGAUGGCCAACACGUCCUAAUCUUCGGGUUAGGGUGUGUCAGUUUGGUAUCAGAGCAUAGGUUGCAGUCCUGUAUAACUAGUGAAUUCUUCUAUUGAUUUUUUUAUGUCUUCUGUCAGAAUUAUGCCGCCUCGUAGAGAGCCUCGCCGUGCUGCUGAGCCUAAUUUCCCCGAUAUAGCCCAAUUAGGGGAAGCAAUGGCUCAGGCUUUUAAGGCUAAUAUCCGUCCUCCUCAGAGAACGCUCGUAGAGACGAUGUAUAAUCUGAAAUUGGAUACCUUUGAGGGAAAUGAAGGUUAUGAGGGGGCAGAAAAGUGGUUGGAUCGGAUUGAGCAGACUUUUCAAGUAAUGCGGAGUCAAGGGAACCUACCUGAGAAUAGAUGGGUCGAGACUACCAUUUGGUUUUUAAGCCGAGAGGUUGCAGUUUGGUGGAGUAAUGAAACUAAUUUUCUGGCACCUGAGAUGGUGCAAGAUUGGGGCACAUUCAAGGGAAUAUUUAAGAAAAGAUUUGUUCCUCCAGAGUACAUUGAUAGUAAGAAGCAGGAGUUCACCCAAUUGAAGCAAAGGAAGAUGUCGGCGGGUGAAUACUACAGGAAGUUUACAGAUUUGUCUCGUUAUGAUCCGGACGUGGCUGCUAAUCCAGUGGAAAUGCUUCGUCGAUUUAAGUUGGGAUCAAAGAAGAGAUGGCGAACAUUUGCUAGCGCACUUCCUUGUGCUAAUUAUCAUGAGUUUUCUGAAAUUAUGGUUCGGAUGGAGGAGUCCGAGAAAUUUCCUAGUGAUAGUGAUGAAGAGGAAGAUAAGAAUGGUGGCAACCAGAGGAAUGACGGCAAGGGUAAAGGUAUCUCCUUUCAAGGACCCCGUAAGACGCAGAAUUUCAAGAAAAGUGGAAUGAGUUCGAGUUCUUCCAGUGGUGGAUUUAGUGCCACAGGUCCGAGGAAAGGAGGUGGUAGGUUUGGUAAUGGACCUAGAUUUCCUAGUCAGAGAAGUUUUGUUGGUACUGGUGGUUCUGGUCCUCCGUUAUGUCGCCGUUGUAAUUUCCGACAUCAUAGGGAAUGUAGGAGAAGCAGUGGUGCAUGCUUUACAUGUGGUCAGGCAGGACAUCGAGCUGCACAGUGUCCCCAGAGUCAGCAGAGGCCCCAGCAGCCUGUUAUGCCAGCUCCAGUACCGACUCAGCAGAACUUAAAUUCAGGCAGUUAUGGCCAGUUUGGUCGUGGUGGUGCUUAUCACUAUCAGGGUGAUGCUGCUCCUUAUGCUCCGGGACAGUAUCAAUAUUCCCAGGAUCCUUAUUUUCAGAGUGGAUAUUCUCAGGAUCAGGGAGGUUAUACUUCAUAUCCGUCUAUGCCAGCUAGCGGAUUUCAGUGGUAUCAGGGGGGUCGGCCCUAACAGAGAGGGGUUUCUGCUAGUAGUGCAGGGCCGUCUAGGCAGCCUGCCCAGGCAGGUCAAGGACGUACUCAUCAGGGACGAGGUAAUCAGAGUGGCAGAGGUCGUGGAGGACGACAACCAGCUCAGGGACGUGUUAACCACAUUUCGCUGCAAGAUGCUCAGAACCAUCCAGACUUGAUUAUGGGUACGUUGAAUGUUCUUGGUCAUUUUGCUAGAGUUUUGAUUGAUUGUGGUGCUACGCACUCUGUGAUUUCUCAUACCUUUGCUCAAAUGACACAACCUCAUCCUUCACCUCUAGGGUUUGAUUUAGAGUUUGCUAUGCCUAGAGGGAAUAAAUGUUAUGUUGAUAGUUUUUAUCCUGGGUGUCCAGUGAUGGUAGAUAAUGUAGUUAUGCCUGCUAAUCUUAUCCCGUUAGACAUCGUGAAUUUUGAUGUGAUUUUAGGGGUGGAUUGGUUGCAUUAUAAUCGCGCCCAUAUAGAUUGUUACGGGAAAUCAGUUACUUUUCUUCGUCCUGGACUACCCGAGGUUACUUUUGUGGGUGAAAGAAGUGGGGUGAGGCAUGGUGUUAUUUCCUUCAUAAGGGCAAAGAAGUUGUUAUUCAAGGGUUGUCAGGGAUACUUAGCACAUGUGGUUUUGAAUGAUGUUGCUCCCAGUAGUGUGGAGGAAGUCGGAGUAGUCAGACACUAUCCUGAUGUGUUUCCAGAUGAUUUGCCUGGAUUGCCCCCAGAUAGAUGUGGAGUUUUCGAUUGAUUUGCUUCCAGGUACAAACCCUAUCUCCUUGACUCCUUAUAGAAUGGCACCAGCGGAAUUAAGAGAGUUGAAAAUUCAAUUGCAAGAAUUAAUUGAUAAAAGUUUCAUUCAGCCUAGUUCUUCACCUUGGGGAGCUCCGGUGUUGUUUGUGAGAAAGAAUGAUGGAACUUUGAGAUUGUGUAUUGAUUACAGGCAAUUGAAUCGGGUAACGAUUAAAAACCGUUAUCCCUUACCUCGUAUAGAUGAUUUGUUUGAUCAGCUCAAAGGUGCCUGUGUGUUUUCUAAGAUCGAUUUGAGAUCUGGGUAUUAUCAAUUAAAGAUUAAAGAUGAGGAUGUUCAUAAAACGGUUUUCAGGACUCGUUAUGGGCAUUAUGAGUUUUUGGUUAUGCCAUUUGGAUUGACUAAUGCCCCUGCAGCUUUCAUGAGAUUGAUGAAUGAAGUAUUCCAGGAAUAUCUCGACAGGUUUGUUAUUGUUUUUAUUGAUGAUAUUCUGGUAUACUCUAAGUCGAAAUCAGACCAUAUUCGACAUCUUAACUUGGUGUUAAGGAAAUUGAGGGAACACCGAUUAUAUGCCAAGUUUAGUAAAUGUCAGUUUUAGCUGAAUCAAGUGGCAUUUUUGGGACAUGUGGUAUCAGCCCAAGGAAUUCAAGUGGAUCCUCAAAAAAUAGCAGCAGUGGAAAGUUGGGAACAACCUCGAACCGUCACUGAGGUGCGGAGUUUUCUUGGCUUGGCAGGUUAUUAUCGACAGUUUGUUCAAGACUUUUCUAUGAUUGCCUUGCCAUUAACGAAGUUAACCAGGAAGGAUGUUAAGUUUGAGUGGGAUGAUAGUUGUGUGAGCAAAGUUUCCAGCAGUUGAAAUAUUGCCUUACUCAUGCAUCGGUGUUAAUGUUUCCUGAUGAUAAUGGUAACUUCGAGAUCUACAGUGAUGCUUCUUUGAAUGGUUUGGGUUGUGUUUUGAUGCAGCAUAGUAGAGUGAUUGCCUAUGCUUCUAGGCAGUUGAAGACUCAUGAAAGGAACUAUCAUACUUACGAUCUUGAGUUGGCAGCUAUUGUGUUUGCUUUGAAGAUUUGGAGACAUUAUCUCUAUGGCGAGAAAUGUAAGAUCUUUACAGAUCAUAAAAGUCUUCAGUACCUUUUCACGCAGCAUGAUCUUAAUCUUCGUCAGAGAAGAUGGUUAGAAUUGUUAAGUGAUUAUGAUUGCACGAUUGAGUACCAUCCGGGUCGUGCAAAUGUGGUAGCUGAUGCUCUGAGUAGGAAACCUCAAGGGAGACUUAAUGCUUUGUAUGCCAGCCGUGUUCCUCUUUUUGCAGAGUUGAGAUCUACUGGAGUAAAGUUAGAAUUGGAAGAGCAAAGUGAAGCUUUUCUUGCCAAUUUUCAAGUCAAGCCAAUUUUAAUUGAUCGGGUGCUUGCAGCUCAAUUGUUGGAUGAAGAAAUCCAAGAGUUGGUCAGUUUAAGAAAGAAAGGGAAGAAGAAAUAUCUCAGGAUCCGAGGAUCAGAUGGUAUGCUUAUGAAAGAGAACAGGAUGUAUGUGCCAAAUAAUGAGGGACUAAAGAAAGAAAUUUUGGAUGAAGCACAUUGUUCGGCUUAUGCUAUGCACCCAAGAGGAACUAAAAUGUAUCAUACCAUUCGACCAUUUUACUAUUGGCCGGGUAUGAAGAGGGAAAUUGCAGAGUAUGUAAGUAGGUGUAUUGUUUGCCAGCAGGUUAAGGCUGAAAGAAAGAAGCCGUUUGGAAGAUUGCAACCACUCCCCGUUCCCCAGUGGAAAUGGGAGAAUAUAACGAUGGAUUUUGUGUAUAAGCUGCCUCGUACACAAAAUGGUUUUGAUUGCAUUUGGGUGGUUGUAGAUCGACUUACCAAAUCAGCACAUUUUAUUCCAAUAAGGGAGAAGUGCCCUUUAAGUAAGCUGGCUAAGUUAUUCAUAUCGAAGGUUGUAAAGUAUCAUGGUGUCCCAGUGAAUAUCAUUUCUGAUCAAGAUCCAAGGUUUACUUCUAAGUUUUGGAUAGCUUUUCAAGAAGCUUUGGGCACUAGAUUGCUUUACAGUACAGCUUAUCACCCACAGACAGAUGGUCAGUCAGAGAGGACUAUUCAGACGCUCGAGGAUAUGUUGAGAUCCUAUGUGAUGCAAUUUGGUGAUUCUUGGCAUGAUCGCUUGGAUUUGAUGGAGUUUGCCUACAAUAAUAGUUUUCAUUCGAGUAUUGGAAUGUCUCCAUUUGAAGCGCUUUAUGGUAAAGCUUGUCGUACGCCAUUAUGUUGGUCAGAGGUCGGUGAAAGAAUACUUGAGGGCCCAGAGAUUAUGGAUGAGACUACUCAGAAUAUUCAGGUAAUUAAGUCUAACCUGAAAGUGGCCCAGGAUAGGCAAAAGAGCCUAGCGGAUCGACAUACGACGGAUAAAAUGUAUAAUGUGGGCGACUAUGUAUUUAUGAAAUUAUCGCCUUGGAGAGGGGUGGUUCGAUUUGGAAAGAAAGGAAAGCUAAGUCCCAGGUACAUUGGACCUUAUGAGAUCACUGAGAGGAUUGGUGAAGUUGCCUAUAGGUUGGAGCUGCCUCCAGAGUUGUCUAAGGUACAUAAUGUGUUCCAUGUCUCGAUGCUUCAGCAUUAUGUUUCAGAUCCUUCACAUGUGAUUCCUACUCAACCUUUGGAAAUUAAUCCGGAUUUGACGUAUGACGAGGAACCAGUGACUAUACUGGAUUGGAAAGAUAAGGCUCUAAGGAAUAAGACAGUGAGCUUGGUAAAAGUAUUGUGGAGGAACAAUGCAGCGGAAGAAGCUACAUGGGAGACAGAAGAACGGAUGAGAGAUAUGUAUCCGAGGCUAUUUUAUGAGUAUUGAUGGUUUGGUUGGUGGCUGGAAUUUUGGGGACGAAAUUCUAUAAGGAGGGGAGAUUGUCACAGCCCGUCCCAAAAUUAUUAAUUCCGAGGACGCGGAAUUACAAAAAUGACCUUAAACGGGAUUAAGGUGCGUAAAUUCGACAUUAGUUUUACCUAAAGUUCCUAAACUAUUGUUAAUUAGAAUAUUAAUUAGUGUUAGGAACUUAAACUAGGACUUAGAUUUACAUUUCUAUAUAUUAAUUUUGUGUUUGGGGGUUUAGGUAGGGCCUCACACCCUAAUUCCCUCCCCAUUUCCCGUAUACUGUCACUCUCUCUUCCUCAGACACUCACUCUCUCUCUCUCCCUCUCGAACGUACGAGCAACCACCAAAACCACCCAAAACUUCUACCAUCGUCAGAUUUAAGGCUACCAUUGCAUUCCUGAGGACUCCACGAUCACGUAGGUACCAAUUUAAGGUGAGUUUUACUUCGAAAACCCUAGUUUCUAAAGAUCCCGUAAAUGUGUACUGUUCACGAGCUUUGAAUUGGUUGUGUUUUAGGCCAAACUAAGCUCAUAGUGAGCUUUAGGAAGUCCCAAGGAAGCUCGGAGUGUGUCGUUUGGAAGUUUUGGACGUCGGAAUCACCUAGUUCGACGUUUGGCCGAUUUCUUGAAAUUUUGGAAGGUAUGAUCCCGUGGUUUUUAGUGCUUAAAACCAUUCCAUCGUGGUUCUACAUGUUAAGGGCUUCGAUUUGGUAUAAAAUUCGAGAAAAAUGGACGAAAAACGAGUGAGAAUAGUUAAUUUGAAAACUUCCCAGUUUUCCGGUGACCGGAGUCCGGCGAGAGACCAUCGGAGAAGAAACAGGAAUAUUCUGUUAGUUUUAAUGGAAUAUUCCUAACGGCGUUAACGGUACCGUUAGGUUUUAACGGAAUACUCCCGGAAUAUUCCUGACGGCGUUAACUGACGGCGUCAACAUGCAACGCACGUGGCCGCACGUGGGGGCGCGUAGACCCGUGCCCAAUUCGGCGCGUGAGACGUAGAAAAAUUAUUUUAAAAAUAGUACGAUGCUCGUGAGGUUGUGUAGAUCGCGUUAGAGUAUUUAUUUGUCAAAAUUGAGCAUCGUAUGAGGAAUUAAUUGCCUAGUUUCGUUUAUGCGCUUUAAAUGACGUUUUAUAGUUGUUUCGCAUAUAGGUGAGACUUAUAGGGAGGACGAGCACAUCCAGGGGCGUCAAGGGGGUUACGACCCGGCAACAUACCAGUGAGUGGGCAUUGCUUUCUAUAUAUAUACCUAUAUACUCGAUUUCCCCAGAAAUCAACUUAAAUGAAAAGUAUGUUGAAAUGAGAUAUGAAAUAUAGUUUGGUUUGCCAUGCAUAGAAUUUCAUGAAUAUUAUGAAUUGUUGUAUGAUGCAUAUAUGUGAAAUGGUGCUGUGGACGCACAGGUGAGUAUCAGGUGAGUAUUAUUACUGUUAUGAUGAUGUUGAGAUAUGUUGAGCUCAUAAACUGCACCUUGGUAUUAGUGCUUAUAUUAUUCACCCUGCAUCGCACGCUCACCUUGGAUCCAAGUAGAUGCUAGUCGUACAGACCACUAGGGGUGGUUCCGACAUGCCAGUCGUAUAAACCAUUAGAAGGGUUCCGACUGGUAGGUGACCUUAGAUUAUGUGCACAGAUGAUUGAUGAGAGAAGCACUAGAACGUAACAUUAACCAUUAAGUCGUAUAGACUACAUUAGGUAGUUCCGACUUAUGUGCAGUGUAGUGCCGUACAAGUCAUACUAGGUGACUCUGGCUAGAUGAGAUUUUGAGCUCUAGAUUCAGCCGUACAGGACCAUUGCAGGGUCUCCGGUUGAUUUAUCUUUCCACCUGAUUUAUGUUAAUGCAUUCAUACUAAACUGUUGAAUUUGAUAUGGCACAUUUUCUAUUGAAUCUGUUAUGAGAUUGAUGAUUGAGAUGGUUGAGAUAUAUAUGUUUAUAUACUAUUUUUCUGGGAAAGUAUACAGGUUUUCAAAGAGGGGUUAUAAAUGUGGAUUAUGAAAUGUUUUGGAAAAGCUUUAUUUUCGCCCACUCACGUUUUCUGUUUUGCGCCCCUCCAGGUUCUAGUUGAGGCGUUGGUGGCCUACGAGGACUUCUUCGGCGUUCUGACAGACUAAAUAAAUGUAGGAUUCACCCGAGGGUGUUGUAAAUUAAUUAUGGUCCUACUUGACUGCACCUAGACGCUUAUGCUCUGUUUAUGUGUGUUUAGUACACUCUUAUGCACAUAGAAUACUAGGUUGUUAAUAACUGCAAUUAGUGGUUUUUGUUGGUUCGUAUUUUGUUAUAUUAUCGUUUCCGCCUGCAUUUAUGGUUACGUCACACUCACGUGACGGCCAGCACGUCCUAAUCUUCGGGUUAGGGUGUGUCAAUUAUAAUGAGGGAUUUUAAAUUUAUAGGAUUAUAAAUCUCAUAAAAUAUCAAACAAUUAAUGUCAAAACUAUAAAAAUAUAAAUAUUAAUAGUAAUAUAAUGAGGUGUACAAAGUCAAGGGACUUUGAUCAAACUUUGAAUACCAUUAAGGUUUUAAUCAAAGAAUGUUAAGGAUUAGGGACCGCAUUGGUAACAACGUCCUUAUAAUAACUAAUAAGUAUUUAGUCACAAGCAAUCUUCAUGACUAAAAAUCUUAAUAACAACAACCUUAUAUAACGAAAGCUCUAUUAGUCACAAGAAAACUAAUGAUUAAAAACAAAUUUAUCACUCACACAUGUUUUUCAUGACUAAUAUAUUUAGAAAUAUCAUCAACGAACGACAGAGAACUAACAUCAAGCUAAUCUCAACAAAGCUGGUUCGUACAUAUAGGAGCUUCCAAUUCAGUUCUCAAAUGUCAAAUAUGGAGAAAAGCUUCAACAACAAUCUCUAAAGCUGCCGCACUUGAGUCAGAGAGAGAGCUCAGGAGCUGCUGCUGCCGUAUUGCUGCUGUAUUCUUAAGUUUGGAGAUGCAUUAACUAAACACUGAAAAAUAUUCACCCACCAUUAGUCUUCAAAGUGAAUCAUACUUGUAGUUGAGGUAGUAAACUACCCUACCCAGGCAUGCAAAUUAAUUAAGAAGAAUUAAAUAUUUGAAUUAGAAGAUCAAAUAUAUAUCCGUGUAUCUGUAACAAGCAAUACUUUCAAAAAAAAAUUCCCCCGGAAAUAAAGAAUAAAAAAAAUAAAGACAACUGUGGAACAAGAAAAACCAAACAAAAAAUAAGCAGUGAAACAAACCUUUGUGUAUGUACAUAGGUGGACAGUGAGAAUCUCCCCUUGAGGAAAUCAUGGAGAUAUUAUAGUGGAAUCAGUCAAAUGUAAUUUUCCUUCCAACACAUCUCUCUUUCAAUAAUAUUGCAAAAAUACAUUAUAUAAUUUGCGUGGAUCAGUGUAUGGCCACAUCAUAGAUCAAUCAAAUCGAACACGAAAGUGAUCUUAUCAAAACUUAUAUGAGAGAGAGAGAGAGAUAGAGAUGGGACUGGAGUUAUUGAAAGGGCAUGGCAUAUCAUGGCAUGCAUGACUCUGUGUGCUUGCUAGCUUUUUGUAGAUGAAUUAUGAAUAUCUUUGCUAAGAAGAACAGCCAGCGGCAAGUUUUGGCCUAUGCUUUGAACCACAUUCUAAAUUUGAUGUAAAAUUGAAAUGGAUGCCUUUGUUGUGUUGUUAAUGUUCGAAUGUUUGGUACAAACUUAAUUUGUGUCUUUUUUCUAUCAACUGCAGAUUAUCGCCUUCUGCAUCAAUAUUUUUAACCUAUAUAAUGUGUGCAAUGCUUUAUACAUCAAUAUCAUCCAUGUGACCUGCCUCAGUUUUUGAUCAAUCGCUUUAACAAUAUUAACAUGACAAUGUGACAUUGCCUGUGCUGCCCAUGCCACACCGCUCCCUUUCAUGAAUUUUGAUCCAUCUUUCCCCACGUGACGAAAGAGAUAUAUACAAAAUUGUGUACAAUCCGUUAUAUGCAAGAGUUAUAUUCUCUUCACAUACCAAACAAUAUUAUAACACGAGUAAUCGAUCUACUACAUCAUGGAAAGUUAACUUAACUAAUCUAAAUUGUAAGGAAUGAAAUUCGAACUCACAUGCAUCAGCUCUAGUCAGUAUAACAACGCAUACGGAACAAGAACUAAUGGAAGCGAGAUUGGGUAGCUGAAACAUCAAAUAUUCCAGCUCUCCAUUAUGUUUCUAGGGUUUGAAUGGAAGUCUUCAUUGGUCAACAUGUUACUUUUAGAGGAGGGUGUAUGCAGCCAAACGUGUCUUUUCAAAGGCCAAGAGUUAUUUGAACAAAAAAAGAGAGUUAUAAUUGGGUAAUUAUUGGUAUCAAAAGCUGGACGAGAUGUUUGAUGUGGUUUAAGUUACAGCGUUCAUACACAAAAGCUGAAUGCAUGGAAGUCUUAGUACACUUGUGGGGUAAAGAUUAGGGCCCAUCUCGUUUUUGUUGUCACCUUUGCAAUUAUACGUAGAAAUUAUAUCAAAAUAAAUCACUACACCUUUCACUUCUUAAUGUAAUCAAUUUUCAUAACGACAAGAUAAAUUAAACACACAAAAUUAACACACAGAGAAUGUGUUACUUUUGUACGGCCAAAUAAUAACAUUUUUUAAUAUGUAAUGUGUAAUUUAGCUAGUUGCAUGGCAUAUUAUCGUACUAGCACCGCACUAAAGAAAUAGGAUACUCGUUGCACACAGUAACCUGUACUGUAGUCUUUUCUAAAAAGAUUGUGAAUCAAAAUCUUGCUAUAAUAAAUUAGUUCUGAGUUUAGUGAUAUUUAUCCAAGCUUAACUCUACCAAAUCAUAAUCCCUACAUUGGUUGCGGUCUGGGGAUUGAGUUUGUGACUAGGGGUUCGAACUAUUUGAGAGGUGAAGAUGCUAAGACCAUCUCCAACCGAGAGUCCAGAGGGUCGAAAAUGGUCCGAAAACCGUCUCCAACCAAGAGUCAAGGCAAAGGGCUCGUGGACUCCACUAGACAAAAAAUGCCAAAGGGCCAAUCAACCAGCCCCGGCCUGGGCCAGGAUUCAAAAAACCAACAACUAGCCGUUAUUUUUAUUUUUUUUUAUUUUAUUUUUUUACAAAUUUUUUAAAAUUCUAUUUUUUCUUAUAUAACUUCUUAAGCCAUUAUACAACAUUAAAUUAAAUUAAACAAUAUGAAACAACAUUAAAUGACAUUAACCAACAUAAAAAUUAUACAACAUAAAAAAAACAUUUAAUAACAUGAAAUUUAAACAACAUUUUUAAAAACAUUUAACAACAUAAAACUUAAACGCCUACUUCAUGCUUCUUUUGGCCCAAAGAUGUGCAACAAGAUCUUGUUAUAGGUACUUGUUUGUGGCACGGGAACGUAUCAUUCUAUAGCACCUCAUGUACUUAUUUAUAGAAAGGUUUUUUAGCCAAAAUGGUCUCUAAGAUUGCAUAACACAUCACUUUGGUUCCUGAGAUUGAAAAUCAAUAGAAAUGGUUCUUGAGAGUGUCCACCAUCCAUUAUUUUGGUCUUUUUUUUUAAAACUCUGUUAAGUGUCCAAGAGCUCUUGGCCGGAAGUUUGAGCAAUUUUCAAAGCUUCGACCCAUAAUAUAUCAAAAUAAAGAUAGAAAAGUGUAGAUAAAGAUUAUACCUAUUUGAAAGCCCAAUGGUUGGCAGAGAUGGCCAGAAAAUAGCCUGAAAGGUGAUUAGUCUACUGGAAACUGGGUAAACUUUAAAUGUUCAUAACUUCUUUAAUACUCAACGAAAUCAAGUAAUUCAAAAACGAAAAUCAUACUUUUCGAUGAGAUGAAGAGAAUGGUACCCUUCUCGGUGACUAACUCACCUUAGUUUGGCCGGAAAAUGGCUCGAAAGUGGCUAACUUGAUAACCAAGACAGCCAUUUUCGAACCAUUUUUCAGUCAAAGCAUGGCGAGUUAGCCUUCAAGAAAGGUAUUCUCUUCAUCUCGUCGAGAAGUAUGAUUUUCAUUUUUGAAUCACUUGAUUUCGUUGAGUAUUGAAGAAGUUAUGAACUUAAACGCCUACUACAUGCUUCUUUUGGCCCAAAGAUGUGCAACAAGAUCACGUUGUAGGUACUUACUUGUGGCACGGGAACUUAUCAUCCUAUAGCGCCUCAUAUACUCAUUUAUAGAAAUACUACCAGUUCUUGGAUUAAAAGGCAAAUUAGGCCUAUCGUAUAUUUUUUCACGAGCCCAUCUUGACCUAUUUGGAUCCUCUUGGUCAUCAUCAAACUCUCCAUCCAUAUACCCAUCUCACUCAUCCUCCACAAUCAUGUUGUGUAAUAUGAUGUGAUAGGAGCAUAUUUAUGCAACUUAGUUAGCUUGUUUCUUGGCAUUUACUUAGUUUAAUUCUAGUUAUUUUAGUACUUUAAGCUAUUUUCGUGUGUUUGUAGGUUCAAAUAACAAAGUUAGCAACAAAGUGCUAUUUGGAGCAUUUUGGAGCAUUUUUGGGCCAAGAUUGGAUAGUGCAAGCAUGGAGACAUGAGGAUGGACGUUUUUGAAUAUUUGAAGGCUAGAAAUCAGCAUGUAUGUGUGCAAGUGUGUUGACCUACAACUACAAACAUCCAUCCACUACACCCAUUACAUUCACUCAUUACCACAACACUCACCCACUACACCCAUUACAUCCACUCAUUACCAAACAUCCAUCCACUACACUCAUUACAUCCACUCAUUACCAAACACUCACCACUACACCCAUUACAUCCACUCAUUACCAAACAUUCACCCACUACACCCAUUACAUCCACUCAUUACCACAACAUACACCACUACCACCUUAAUUAGAUGGUGAUCCUCUCCCUAGCCUAUAAAUACAUCCACCCUUCACCAUAACAAGGGAGAAAAAAAUCCAUCCAAAACACACACACAUCAUCUACACAAUUCUCCACUCUUUGCCGCAUUCAAUACAACCUUCAUCCAAACACAUCCAUUCAUCUUCACAUUCAUUCCUCCAUACAAACAAACCUUCAACCACUUACCAACACCUUGUGCCGUAGCAAAGGAAGGGAAGGAAAUUGCUUGGACGUGCUUGCUGUCCAACUUGGAUCGUUAGAGCGUUUAGGUAUUUUCUUUCUUUUGUUUCCAAUGUUUAAAUUCAUUUUCUUUUGUUUUGUUGUGAAUAUGAGUGGCUAAACCCCUCUUGGCUAGGGGUGAUUUCAAAGCCAUGAUUAUGUGUGCAAUAUAAUUUGAUAAAUUCCAGUUAUGAACUCUUGAAUCGUGAAUGCAAUUGGCUUAACUAUUUGAUUGAUAACUUAUUUGUAUUUGUUAAUUAAGGUUCAACACUUAAUUGGCAUGCAUAAAUCCGUUGCUAGAAUAUAAGGAAGUUUCACAUAAUCGUUACAAACUUAUAUUCACAUGUAGUGAAUGUCGUUUAUAAACGAUCGCGUUAAGUUCAAUUCCUAGCAUGAGUGACAUGAUGUCAUAGUUGCAAGUGCUUUGUCAAUGCUUAUGAUUUUCAUUAAACUUAAUGAUCUUUUAUUGUAUCUCUAUUAUGAUGUCAUGUAGGGAACUUUAGAAGAAUGUUUUGGGUUGUCGAAUGAUGUCAUCCAAUCCAAUAAAAUAAGGAAAAUCUGAGAGUUAACUAGUGAUGUCAUGGUUAAUUUGGAGCAUUGUCGUUCAUAAUUCAAUGAAGUAGUAACUGGAAAUCGAGUUAUUUGCAUACAUGUCAUGUGUGGAGAAAAAGUCUCUAGCUAUCCCAUCCAUCAUCUUAUUUCUCAAAUUUGUUUUACAAUCUGUCUAGUUUUUCAUACUUGUUUGUUUGUUUGAACUUCGUCCAAAACUCAAUCCCCAUUUACUUUAGUGUGUCUAAUUAGUUAGAAUCUGUUUUAAUUUGUGUUUUUAAAUGUUUUGAUUCAAGUAAAAGUCAAUUUUCGUCCAAAGUCAUUCCUAGUGUCUAGUUUAAGUUUAUUUAGUUGUUUUAAGCUGUUUUGAGUAUUUUAAGUUUGCUUUGAGUCUUGUUAAGUAAUUUUAAGUUUAGUUUUAUGUUUUUGAGUCAGUUUAGAGGUUAUUAGCAAGCCCUCCUAAUCCCCGGUCCAGAACGAUCCCUACUUACAUUCUUUACUACAAUUGAUAAAAGAGGGUUAAAUUUGUGUGGUAAGAUAAUUUUCGCACCAAGUUUUUGGCGCCGUUGCCGGGGAUUAGCAACUUUGCUAAUCCCCCGUUGUUUCUUUUUCAUGUCUUUUGUUUUUAGUUACUAACUUUGUUUCUGUUUGUGUUUUUUUUUCUUUUGUUUUACUUUUGAUAUUUGAUUUAAUUUUGUUUCCUUGAUUUCAAGUACUAGAGAAGUAAGACAUGGAUUUUGCUACCAUUCAAGCUUAAUUGGCGAAACUUACUUCUCAAUUGUUACAAUAUCCCGAAAGGACACAAUGCAAAGUGUCCCUACAUAUGGUGUGUCCUAUGGGCAAGGAUAUCCAACUCAUCAAUGUUCUCAAUUCGCUGCGAAUGAAGAUGCUUGGGGUUAUCAAGGCCAUAGCCAAUCAUGGGACAACAUGUUUUCCAACGCUUACAAUUCGGAUUGGAGAGAUUAUUCAGAUUACAUGUGGGGAGAACCUCAACAAUUCCAACAAGAUGGAUAUUGGCAGCAAGAAGAGGAGUUCUAUUCAAGACCUAUGCAGCCACCACAACCUCCUCCACAACAAUUCCAAUCAAAUUCAAGUAUGCCUAUGAGUUAUGAUGAAAUUCUUGAUGUACUAACCUCGUUGACGCAGGGCUCACAACAAGAAGAAUAUUUGCUGCCAUCGGAUGAGUUCUAUCACUGGGCAUAUGAACCAUCACAGCCACCACAACAAUCUGCCCAAUUCAAUUCAGGUACGUCUUUGGAUAAUGAUAUAUUUAAUAAGUUACUCACCUCUUUGAACCAGGAAGUAGAAAAUGGAAACAAAGAGAUGCAAAAUCAAGCCAAGAAGACGGGUGAAUUAGAGAAGCAAAUUGGGCAGAUUAUGGAGUUCAUGGCACAAAUUCAAGAGCAAAGUGAACUCUCCAACUCAACUAUUGAAAAUUUGAAGGAAGAUUUUGAAAUCCAUGAUGCUAUCACUUUGGGAAGUGUUAUGGAGGUUGGAGGUGAACCCAAGACAUCCAAAUCAAGCCAAAACAUGGAUGAACAACUGCUGCUCAAAGAAGAGGAGAAUAACAGGCCACGGCAAGGGAAGAACCACCUUUGCCGCAACCCCAUAUGCCCUUUAUGUCGUCCACUACAACCAAGGUAAGCCUAAAUUCAAAUUGUCCUGACCCCGUUUCACUAAAUGUCCUUAUUCCUUGCAAGAUCAUGCAAUCUAAGGAAGAAGAAGGUGAGAAAGGCAUAUUUGAAACCUUUCCAAAGAAUCAAGAGCAAGAAGUGGAUGGGGAAUGUAUAGAAUUCAUCAAAGAAGAUACACUUGAGACGAAAAUUCCCAAAGAAGUUGGAUUUUAUGACAUGGGACAAGUCAUAACCCUCAAAACACCAAAUCUGGCCAAGUCCCAUAUCCCUGCAACCUUCAAAGAUGUGGUGUUCAUAAUUGAGUUUGUGUUGGAGCAAGAAAGUAAGCCAUCUUCUCCAACUUCGAUUUUAUUUUAUACUAACUUGCUGAUUUUAAUGAUUCAGGCACCUACACUAGAAUUUAAACCAUUGUCGGAUCACGUCAAGUAUCACCUUCCAUUCAAUGAUCAAUUCCAUGCUAUGGGCCUUAUCCAAGUUUAGAAGGAAGUUUCGUCCGGCUGAAGGACGUUAAAGCUAGCGCUUCUUGGGAGGCAACCCAUGUAUUCAAAUAAGGAAGAUUUUUGAAUCGCUCCACAAUCAAUUUUGCGUUUCUAAAAACCUUCCAUUUUCUGCAUUUCUAUUUUGCCAUGAUUGUCAUUUUUUAUUUUUGUUGUUUAUUUAAUUAUUUUUGGGUGUGGGUUUAUUUUUGAAACAUUGACAGAUAUGCAAGGUAUUUUUACAUUCAUUUUCAUGAAAAAAAGGAACAUUAAGCUGAAAAUUACAAGAGGGAGCUUUCACAAAGGCUGCUUAGGAGAAGUCUCAGUAGUCGUCGGAGCCUCAGCAGUCGACGGAGCCCCAGAAGGAGGAGGCAGCGGAGGUUGAUCAUUUGGAGUUUCAGUACGCGGUAUAGCCCCAAAAGACGAAGGCAAAUGCUGUUGGAACAAACCCACAAACCUCUGAUGAUCAAGUAAAAUCUGACCAUCAGAUUCCUGCAUCUGGUCAAUCUUCCUCUUCAUGUUUGUAGCAUAGUUAUGUGCGAGCCUGUGCAACUGUUUAUUCUCAUGCUUGAGCCCUCUAAUCUCUUGCUUGAGACUCAUCACUUCAGCCGCCAAUGAUUCAACUUAACAGGUUCGAGCAAAUAGGCGUUGGGCCAUAUUAGACACAUAACCUGUACACUGAGAGCCAAAGAAUCCUUAACGGCCAACUCAUCAGACCGUUUGGAAAGUAGUAUGUUAUCUUUGGGAGUGACAAGGUUCCGGGCCACCACCACAGCGGUCAUGUCAUUCUUCAUCACCGAAUCCUCAACGGUAAGAGAACCAGUAGGGGAUAUGAAGGAUGGGCGCCAUAUGUUGUCUGGAGAAGGCUGAACUACCUCUUCUCCAAGGUUUAAGUCAAAACGAUGGUCAGAGGGGCCAACCAUUUUCAGAGGUGUUAAAGAAAGAAGAGGUCGGACAAGUCAAGGUCGUAUAAGUGCAAGAAGGGAGUUUCUGCAGGCAGAAAUUCAAGUGUGCUUUGAACGUCCUGCGUACCUCUAUAAAAAUUAGCACUCGACGGGAUUUCAGAGAUCGAAGAGGUGAGCUCAGAAAUCGAAGAGGCCAACUCAAAAAUUGAAGAGGCGCCAACUUUCUCAAAAGAUGGGCUUGCUCAGAAACCACGGGCCAAUCUUCUUUUCCAAAUUUGUCCGCACUUGUCACUUGCAACCUCUGCACUCGACGGGAUUUCAUAAAUCGAAGAGGCAAGCUCAGAACUCGAAGAGGCAAACUCAGAAAUCGGAGAAGCAUCUGCUUUUCCAUAUGUGUCAGCAUCUGUCACAUGCAGAGUCAGCUUUGCGAAAAUCACUGGUAGUUUGUCGAAGCGUCGAUUCCAGAUAUCGAAGAGGUACUUGCUUUUCCAGACGUAUCAGCGCCUGUCACAUGCACACUCAGCCUUGCGGAAAUUACGGGCAAUCUGUCGAAGAUCUCUUGUGAAGUAGAAAACAUAUGAAGUUUACUAUUAAAUCAUCCAACGGUUGCUGACAAGGGUGAAAGAAUAGUACCGGUUAUUAAUUCCUAUAAAUGUCACCAUUCACCCUCAAUUGCAAUGCAGACAUACAUAACCCUUAUUCUUAUCCGAGAAUGCCUUUCCAACAAACCCUCUCGAGUCAUUCAGUGUUCCUUAUUCCUUGGGAUACCUCUGCAAACAACUCAUCCAAAGAAAAAGUAUUUCAUAUCAUGAAGUUUGAAAGCAAGAGUAUCUCAUAUCAUGCUUUCUCCUUGUCCUUCUCCUUGUCGUUGUUUUCAUCUGCGGGACAAGGAAAAAGAGAGCAAUCAGCUAGCACUCAGUAUCAAUCUUCCAAUCUGGAACCGACUGCCUGGAACCCCUUCCUGAUUGCUUACCUAGCCCUGCUCUCGAGUACUCAUCUUCAACAUCUUAUGCUUCCUAUUCGUUUACCACAUCUGUAUGGGGAACAGAUAAGGGAAGUGAAAAUGAUACCUCGAAGCAUGUGGAGACAAUGUGCUAAUUCAUCCUCAGCUAGGGACAAGGAGAAAGAAAGCAAGAGGUGGGCACUUGGAAAGAUUGAAGAAAGAAACAGACCAUCACCUCUACCUCGUGUCUGCCUGCCGUGCAGAAGAAACAAGCAAAGAAGAAUGCAGACUGCACAAUCAAAUCAACCCAGCAGAAGGAGUCUGAUUUGAAACCAAGGAACUCUCGUUCAGAAUUCUGAACCAGUUCGAGAUCAAAGCUAUGGAAAGAUAACAAGAUCAUCUAUCUCCAAAACCAUAUUUGCGUUCUUAAACUCUACUCUGUUUGGUUUUUACUUUGCCAUACUUGUCAUGUUUAUUCGUUGUUUGUUUGAUUGUUUGCUUGUGUUUGUGUGAGUUUAUGCUUGAAACAUUGAGGACAAAGUUUGAUUUAAGUGUGGGGGGGAAACCAAGUUGUUUUGCAUGAAAUUCGUGGAAGUUUAUCAUCCAUUACUUCUAGUGUUGUUCCUUGCUGUUUUUAAGUGUUUUAUACUGUUUUGGAGUGUUUUAGUGUGUUUUGACAUAAAAAUCCAAAAAUUUCAUAAAAAUUUGAAAAAUUGUUUUGAAAAAACCCAAAAAGAGUUGUUUCUGUGUGUUUGUUUGUGUCUUAUGGUACCUUCCAACACAAUGAUGAGGAUUUGGUUUUUAAUUACAUGACUGUUAAAGAGAGUUAUAAACAUGGAUGAAAAUUUGAUUUACUCUUUGGUGUAUGCUUGGUUGUGGUUAUAAUUUAUGAAUUCACAUUAUAAAGGAAAAAUCAGUUUUUGUAACAUGCUUGAAAGAAGGAACUCAAAUGAACGCUACAACCUUGUGAGACUUGAGUCUAAACGUUUGUUUGGAGAGUUAAUAAUAUGUGCAUCAUUGUUUUCUAAAGUUGUUGCAUGAUCUUAUUAUUCUUUGCUUGGUUGCUACUUAGAAGGCGUUUCAUCAUUUAGUUCCAAAUGCUAAAACUCAUGCCUAUUUCAUUCAAAGCAUGUCAUUGAUUUGCAUAACACAUAUUCAAGAUGAAGUUGUGUAGUGACCACCAAAGCCAAAUUGUAGUGCCCCUAUUUCAUUAUGUGUUUAAGUUUAACCCCAUUGAGCCUUGUUAAUCCUAUGUUCUUUGUUAACCCACACUAUCCUUACCUAGCCUAGUGUUAGGACCAUCCAUACCCUUGUUCUUGAAGCAUAGUAAAUCAUGACUUAAAAUGAACUCCUUUUUUAUCAAUGUAUUGCAGAAAGCAAGUGUGGGGGAAGUGAUUCUUGUGUGUGUGUGUGUGUGUGUACCAGAGUCCUUAAUAAGGCACGGGUAGAGAAAAUAAAAAAAAAAGCAUGAAAAAGAGCUCUAAAGUGUUGUUUGUUAAAAAAUGGUCCAAAACAUUGAAUUCGGCCCUAAGUGUUGCAUGAAUCUUCCCUUUGUAUGUAAAAGUUGAUUCUGCAUUUUAAAGUGAUUUCCAAGUGUCUAUUUCAUUGCUUUGCUUGCUAUCGCUUUAAGAACGUUUGUUAUCCCUAUCCUUUCUUUGUUAGCCAUUACCCCCAAGCCCUGUUACAACCAUUGACUUCAAUCUUGAGUGUUGUGUGUUUCAAUUUGUGGAGUUCGAAAUUGGUAUAAGCAUAUGGUGUCACUGGUUCUCGCAUCUAAGUAGUAGCAUUCCAUUCAUGAGAUCAUAUCUAAACAUGCUUAAUAACUCCAGAAAAUUGCUUUCUUUGUUAUAACAUAUGUGAGUUCUAAUCUUUCGUGUUUACAUCAAUCUUCUCACAUAUACUAGUGUAGGGUGUGUAGUCAGAAAAUGUGUGUGAAAAUAGAGAGUAUCUUGUAAAAAAUUGAGCAAACUCUCUAAGGCAUGUUACUACAUUCAAAACAACGUUUUAAUUGAUUAAUUGUGAAAUAGUAAGUGAUGACUGUGAUUAAGUAUGUGCUCAAGUGUAAGGAUGACCAAAAUCUGUGGGAAUGAGGAUUUUUAACACGUCAUGUUUCAUUAAAUCUGUGGGAAUGAUGAUUUUUAAUUGUUUCGUUUUGUUUCUUUUGUUUUGCUCGAGGACUAGCAAAAGCUAAGUGUGGGGGAAUUUGAUAGGAGCAUAUUUAUGCAACUUAGUUAGCUUGUUUCUUGGCAUUUACUUAGUUUAAUUCUAGUUAUUUUAGUACUUUAAGCUAUUUUCGUGUGUUUGUAGGUUCAAAUAACAAAGUUAGCAACAAAGUGCUAUUUGGAGCAUUUUGGAGCAUUUUUGGGCCAAGAUUGGAUAGUGCAAGCAUGGAGACAUGAGGAUGGACGUUUUUGAAGAUUUGAAGGCUAGAAAUCAACAUGUAUGUGUGCAAGUGUGUUGACCUACAACUACAAACAUCCAUCCACUCAUUACCACAACACUCACCCACUACACCCAUUACAUCCAUUCAUUAUCAAACAUCCACCCACUACACUCAUUACAUCCACUCAUUACCAAACAUUCACCCACUACACCCAUUACAUCCACUCAUUACCACAACAUACACCACUACCACCUUAAUUAGAUGGUGAUCCUCUCCCUAGCCUAUAAAUACAUCCACCCUUCACCAUAACAAGGGAGAAAAAAAUCCAUCCAAAACACACACACAUCAUCUACACAAUUCUCCACUCUUUGCCGCAUUCAAUACAACCUUCAUCCAAACACAUCCAUUCAUCUUCACAUCCAUUCCUCCAUACAAACAAACUUUCAACCACUUACCAACACCUUGUGCCGUAGCAAAGGAAGGGAAGGAAAGUGCUUGGAAGUGCUUGUUGUCCAACUUGGAUCGUUUGAGCGUUUAGGUGUUUUCUUUCUUUUGUUUUCAAUGUUUAAAUUCAUUUUCUUUUGUUUUGUUGUGAAUAUGAGUGGCUAAACCCUUCUUGGCUAGGGGUGAUUUCAAAGCCAUGAUUAUGUGUGCAAUAUAAUUUGAUAAAUUCCAGUUAUGAACUCUUGAAUCGUGAAUGCAGUUGGCUUAACUAUUUGAUUGAUAACUUACUUGUAUUUGUUAAUUAAGGGUCGACACUUAAUUGGCAUGCAUAAAUCCGUUGCUAGAAUAUAAGGAAGUUUCACAUAAUCUUUACAAACUUAUAUUCACAUGUAGUGAAGGUCGCUUAUAAACGAUCGCGUUAAGUUCAAUUCCUAGCAUGAGUGACAUGAUGUCAUAGUUGCAAGUGCUUUGUCAAUGCUUAUGAUUUUCAUUAAACUUAAUGAUCUUUUAUUGUAUCUCUAUUAUGAUGUCAUGUAGGGAACUUUAGAAGAAUGUUUUGGAUUGUCGAAUGAUGUCAUCCAAUCCAAUAAAACAAGGAAAAUCUGAGAGUUAACUAGUGAUGUCACGGUUAAUUUGGAGCAUUGUCGUUCAUAAUUCAAUGAAGUAGUAACUGGAAAUCGAGUUAUUUGCAUACAUGUUAUGUGUGGAGAAAAAACCUCUAGCUAUCUCAUCCAUCAUCUUAUUUCUCAUAUUUGUUUUACAAUUUGUCUAGUUUUUCAUACUUGUUUGUUUACUUAAACUUCGUCCAAAACUCAAUCCCCCUUUACUUUAGUGUGUCUAAUUAGUUAGAAUCUGUUUUAAUUUUUGUUUUUAAAUGUUUUGAUUCAAGUAAAAGUCAAUUUUCAUCCAAAGUCAUUCCUAGUGUCUAGUUUAAGUUUAUUUAGUUGUUUUAAGCUGUUUUGAGUAUUUUAAGUUUGCUUUGAGUCUUGUUAAGUAAUUUUAAGUUUAGUUUUAUGUUUUUGAGUCAGUUUAGAGGUUAUUAGCAAGCCCUCCUAAUCUCCGGUAUAGAACAAUCCCUACUUACAUUCUUUACUACAAUUGAUAAAAGAGUGUUAAAUUUGUGUGGUAAGAUAAUUUUCGCACCAUGAUGCAAGACAUCAUGAUGGAGUCCAAAUUUUCUCGACUCCACCUUCUUGCCGAUUCCUUGAUGAUCUUCCACCAUGCUUGUAGAACACCAAAAACUCUCAACAUUUUUCUGGUAUGCCUCUUGGUGUAAGGUAAAACACUCUUUGGCGUCAUUUUUAGGGUUUGGAAUUGCUUGGACAAGUGUUGACCACUUUGGGUAGAUGACAUCUGCCAAGUAAUACCCCAUAUUGUAUUGACGGUCGUUGAUGUAGUAGUCAAGUUGAGGUGAUUUACCUUCCGUCAGGUUAUUGAAGAUGGGUGAACACCCAAGAACUGUAAUGUCAUUUUGGGAUCCAGAGACUCCAAAGAAAGCAUGUCAGAUCCAUGUGUCAUACGAGGCAACCGCCUCUAACACAAUAGUUGGCUUUCUCGACCUUCCGCUAAAGCCUCAUUACCAUCCAGUGGGACAGUUCUUCCAAUUCCAAUGCAUGCAGUCUAAUGACCCUAUCAUGCCUGGAAACUCACGGUCUUCAGCUUUGCAAAUGAGUCGAUCCAGAUCUUCUUGAUUUGGCUCGCGGAGGUACUCCUUUUUGUAAAGCUGAACAAUUGUGUUACAUAAUUCAGCAAGAGUAUCGAGGCAUGUAGACUCAGACAUACCAUGGGUUUCAUCCAUCGAAUCAGUUGGGGAGGCAUAUGCCAUCAUUCGUAGUGCAACAAUAACCUUCUGAUGAGGUGAGAAACCAGGGCGGCAUGCUCUGUCCAGUUUCUGUUGAAAGUAUGGAUUGACCUGAUGGGCAUCAUGAAGUAAACGCUUGAAGACAUGACGCCCCAUCUAGAAGCGAUGUCUGAAAUCAUCUUCUGUGUACAUCAAGUUGAGGUUGAAGUAGUUGUUCAUCAAAUUGGAAUGCGUCAUUGCUCUAUUUCGUGGUUUGUAAAAGCGACCAGCAACAGAGCCACCCCAUAGAGGUUGUUCCUCAGUUGGCUGACACACCAUGGCCGCAGCCAUGGCUGCCAUAUAUUGUGUGUUACGUCAUGCUUCAUCUUCUUCAUAAACUCAUCAUCUUCUCGUCUCAUCUGCGCCCAUUUUUCUUCCAAUUCGGAAUUGGAUGAGGACCCCCAAUUGGAAUUCGAAGAUGAUCCAAAGUUGGAAUUCAUUAUAAACUUGAAUUGAAAGAGAUUGAAAUGAAAUAGAUUGAAUUCAAAGGUGUGUGAGUUAUAGCCCAAUAUCCAUCCUAUUUAUAACAAAAAACAAUCAAAUCCAACAAUUAGCUGACGUCAUGCUGACAUCAACUAACCGUUGGAUUUGAAUUUGAAUUUUUUCGGCCAAAAUUUGUAAAAAAAUAUUAAAAAAUUCUCAUUUUUUCCUAUAAAUUUAAGUUGUUGUAGUUUUUAAAUUUAAUUUGUAGUUUUUAAACAUAAGUUAUAGUUUUUAAAUUUAAAUUGUUGUAGUUUUUAAAUUUAAAUAAUAAAUUAUGUUUGGCCUUAUGUGACUAUCGGUUAGAAAUAGUAAGAAAUAUGCUCAUGCACUGUUUAUUAAAAUAUUAAUUUCUUGAAUGAUCAGAGAGCUAAAACGAGCCAUAUGUCAUUCGUUCAGUUGAAAAUGGUCCAAGUAAGACUAAAAAACACCAACACUUUUCACGAGAAUAGUCCACGACCAUGUCCAUAUAUAUCCAAACGGACCCCCAACCAAAUGGAAUUCUGCAUGCCCUAUCUCUAUCUAGCUGCCCGGUCCUUCAAAUGCAGAGAAAGGAGCUAGCGCAAUAGCAUAGUAGGCCAUGUCAUCAUCAUGAUUGUCGUUUUCCAGAUUUUGUUUGUCAAGUUGCUGGUUUUGAUCUUUCCAGUUUUAAAUAAAUAUGGACAACCAUACGCGCUGUUCAUAGAAAAAAAGGCAAUUGUGAAUAAUUUUCAGAGGGACAAGAUUCUCACAGUGUCAUACUAUAAAGAAAUAUCUCACAUUAAAAGUUUAUCAAAUCUUGUUGCUUAUAAAGAGUUGGAUACUUCUCAUAUUGUCCAUGAAUUUUAUGUAGGAAUCUCAACUUUCUUUAUAGUAUCAGAAUCAAGUUGCUCUACGACGUCACACGUAAGUAUAAGCCAAAUGGCCAUCUGUGCUACAUAACAUUCAAUUUGUAGUGCCAUGUACUGUAGGUAAGAAAAAGGAAAACGAAAAAGAAGUUGCAUAAAAGAACGAGAACACAGAAACUUAGAUAAUGAGACAUGCCUGCAUGGUGAAUGGUGAUGGAGUAAAAAGACACAAGAAAAAGUGGAAAAGGGGAAAACAAAAAGCUAAUGAAUUGAAAUUCAUCCAGAAAUGUGUGAAAAGGACUAGUGUGGUCGAAAUCUUCACAUCUCAAAAAUGAAGGAAAGGGUGGGUUCUGGUGAAUGGUGAUUUGUCUCUCCUUCACGUGUUCUUAGCUUGUGACUGUGUCAGCAACGUCAGAAAUGCAGAAAGAGAACAAAAGGAGAAGAGAAAGAGUUCGAGGGGACGAUGGUCCAAAAGACGAAUAACUUUUACAUGCAAUGCCCACACCAUAAUAUGUAUCUAUCUACUUCUGAUCGAACUGCUUCAUCUAUUAAUCUUUUGAUUAUUUACAGUAAAUUAUUUAAUCUUUUGAUCACUUUCUCUAAUUAUGUAUUAGGGAUUCAAAUUAGUCGGCUUACUUUUUGUGGUAGAACGUGCUGCUUUUUGUUCGUAUCUGUUUUUGGUUCUCUAGUUGUCAGUUGUCCAGACAUUUUUCACUGUAAAAAUGUUGGAUCUUAUUUACAAAAAAAAAAAUUCACUGUACAGAGAGGGAGGGGAUGCGGCACAUAGAGAAGUGAGAGACGAGUAAUUGUGAGGUAUAUUAUAUUCCACGCCAUUGUACUUUUAUUUAGGGGUGUGCUAUCCAGACACCCCAUUUUACUUCUCACACACCCCUUGAUAAUUUAUGUCCGGUGAUCUUCUUCAAUUCAUCCGAUCCGACAGCCGAAAAUUAAAAAUUUUGUGAGAGGUAAAAUGGGGUGUGUGGAUAUCACACCCCUUUAUUUAUAGUAGUAGGGAAGGUUAAUUCCUUACCUAAUAGGAUUAACUCUAAUAGGAUAAUAUUUAGUCUAAGAGAUAUGGUAAAAUCCCAUAAAGAUAUCUUAGAUAUGUUAGAAUUUACACAAUUAUAUUCCUAAUCUAACAGGACUGCAACAUAAAUCAUAUUUUACAAAAAAAAAAAAGUUGACGUUAGAGAGAUUAUCUAAUUUGAACUAUAUUUAUAAAACACAUAAUAUAUUUUAUAAAAUAUGGUCCAAAAAUAUGAAUCUCUAGCAUUUUUCUUUACAAAAGUCAUACUAAGUGCUCUUAUAUUCUUUUUGGUUUCAGAUCUGUACGAAAUUGUUUUUGUCAAAAACACUUCUAUUUAUAAGUACUCUUAACAAAAUUUCAAACACUAGAAAGCUUUUUUGAUAAAGCGCACGUGCUUUCAUAAAAAAUAGUUCUAGAUCCAAAAUAACUUAUGAAUUUUUCUGCCGAACGUAGUUAGAAACUUAGAAAAAAAUUGAUUAUCAGAAAGCGAUUUGAAAAGUAGUCUUAAACAAUCUUUUAGCGUAUUCUUAACUUGUUAUUGAGUAACAAUGCUAAAGAUGUUUUUGUACUUGUACCAAGUUUUUUUGUACCUCGUAAUUAAUAAUAAGAAAAUAACAAAUUUCGGCAUAUUAACUAAAACUUGGUUAAUAAGUUAUAUGCUUAAUAUAAUUGUGAAUAAUAACAUGCUUUUCAAUUAUUAAUACUUGACGUUAUAAUAUGAAGUAUAAUAAUUUGAGUGAAUUCAUAAUUACGUCAUGUCAACAUAUUACCGUUACGCCAAAUAAUAAAUUUCUUGAAUUCUCUAUGUUAAAUUUUGCCUAAACCCCUUGCUUAAUGAUGGUCAUGCAUAACCCUAACUAGAAAAUUUAAUUAGCAAAUACUUAUCUCCUAAUCUAGGGCAACAUAUAGCCGGUGGGAGAGGGUCACAAGGCCACAUAGUUUUUUACUGCUAGGCUUUUGUUGGCUGUAAAAGUAAGUAAAAAGUUAAGUAGUAAAAUAUACAGAAGAGAUCCUAUACAAAUAAAAAAAGAGCAAGAGGAAAAGGUUGAUGGUGGUAAUGCAGAUGAAAGCAAAAUGUCAACCACUAGGCUUCAAUUUUCAGGAACUGAGAGAUACUUCUCUCACUGGGUCGGUCACGAGGGUUCAAUAUUAUUAGUGCAUGUCGACAGCUUUUUACCCUCUUCCUUGUAUUCUAUUCAUUUUCUUACUUCUAUCGGAAACUUUUGACACGUAUUAUUAUUUUAUAUGUUAGAAUAUAAGUAAAUGAUAUCGUAGAUAUAUAUCUCAAUUUUCGUUUAUAUUAAUAAAAAAUAAAUACACACGUUAUAAUUUGAAAAACAUAGUAACAUCAUGCCCGAGUAUUCCUACAUUGAAACCCUUCUCCUCUCUACCUUUUCAUAUGAGAGAUGAUCUUACACUCUUCUUUGGUUUCAGCCAUUGAAUGAAAAAAAUGAAACGAAAAUAAUAACCAAGAUUAAACAAGAGUGUGAAAAGUUAAAAAGAGUGCGUGUUUAUCAUUUUCGCUUAAUAGAUUAAUUGGAAAAGGACCUAAAUGUAAUUCACAUAAGCUAGUUUACGAUAUCAACGCAGCUAUUUUCCUCGCUGUUAACGAAGCUGCAAUACAAAAAUGUUACAUUACUUUAGGGUUUGCUUGGUAAUGUAAUCACUUAUUAAGUAAUCAGUAGCUAAUUACCUUUUAGCCAUAGCAUCGUUUUCCCAUGUGAAUAUUGGAAUCGAAGACUUUGAGAACAAUGAAAAGUUGUCCUUGUGAGGUCAAAUACAUAUUAAAUGUUAAUUAGUAGUUAAUUAGCAUACAAUUACUGGAAUUACGGGUCCUUUUCUUGGACCAAAAACUAAAUUCCAAAACAAAUAUUAAUUGAUUAAACAAGGACGAAUUCGGACACUUCGUUUGGCGGAAGAAACAAACAUUUCAUGCAUCUGCAUGACUUAAAAUACAAGAUGCAUCACAAUCUUUCGUGUUGUCAUAUGUAUUGCCAUUCUUGGAGUAAAAAACCUUGUAAUUAUUGUCACAAUGAAACUUGGCAACAUGGAAAUUGGAUGGUUUUGUCAUGACUCAUGCAUGACGUAUCAUAUAGUGAUGUGGCAAAAUAUAUAUUGCAAAUUAGUGUCCAUUUCAGCUUAUUGUCUUGUUUCUUUUUUGUCAAGUUCAAUGAUCAAAAGCUUAAGAACUGUUUGAUAACCAUUUUGUUUUCAGUUUUUACUUCCUUUUUUUUUAAUUGAAAGUUUGUUUAGUAACUACUUUUCAGUGUUCAAUUAAAAAAAAUGAAAACUCAAACUAAAAUUUGAAAACACAAGGCCUUAUUUUGAAGGGAACUGUUAUUGGGACUCUAAAAAAUCUCAUUAUGCACUCUAAACUUUCUAUAUUUAGAAAGAAAAAAAAAUACAAUUGAGAAGUGCACAUUAAAAUUUUUGGAGUGCUAACAACAAUUCUCAUUUUGAAAACUCUAUAAAGUAGUUUUCAGUUUUCAUGUUUUUGAAAACUAAAUUAAAGUAGUUGCCAAACAAGAUUUCAGUUUCGGUUAAAAAAAUGAAAAUAAAAAUAAAAAAUUGAUAAGGAAUUAGUUAUCAAACGACCCCUUAAUUACGUAGUGUGCAAUGAAAAUCUUUAGGGUAUGUUUGGGUGAGGAACCUUGAAAUUCCAAGGAACUUAGACAAAGUGAUGAAGACAUGGAUCACAAAAAGUUAGAUAAGAGGGAUUAUAAAUGCAUCUUCAUGAAUAUAAACAUAACAUGAUAAAUUUGUACACUUUGUGAUGCUCAUUUGGUGCAUUUUUAUUUCCUCCUAUUUAAUUUUUUGUGAUCCAUCUCUUCCUCAUUAUGCAUAAAUUCCUUGGAAUCUUGAAAGUUCCUCGCCCAAACAUGCCUUGAGGAGUUUGUCUACAAUGGCUAGGGUUCUUAAGGUUUCUCAAUAUGUUUUUUUUAUCUUUCGGAAAAUUGAUAGGAUAUAUGUAGAAAGAUCUUUUAAAUUGCCAAUAACUUAUCUAUAAUAAGCUACAAUAUUAAAUUUUAGUACUCCUUAUGAAUAUGUUGUGAUCGUAUGUUAGACCAAACAUGAGAUCUCCUUCAAUCGAGUGGAGACUUGGUGCUGCAAGAUAACUGAUCAUGUGUCUCAAUAGGUGUUGAAUGAAAAUGUUUGUUGUUCGAGACCAUGGUGCUUAAGUGGAAAAAUAUGAAGAAAGUCGAAAUUCCAUUAUAAUUAAAAUUACUUGGUAAUAUUGAGAGGAGCCAAACUCCUUAUAGGCUUAUAGCUUUUGUAUGGUUUGGUCCCUCACGAUUUGGGACUUUGUCCUCACAUUCUUACACGUCCCCUCACGUAUUGCGAAUUUUCAAGCCUACACAUGAACAACACAAACAUGAUGACGUGUAACACGUGUAGUAGUUAGCCUUCACACACGUGUGGCUGUUUGGGCCAACCUGCUCUCAUAUCAACAAAGUUGGGGUUCCACCAUAAAACCGUCAAUUCUUAUACCAACAUUAUAAAACAUUAUACUAAAAGAAUAAGGUGGCAAAUAGUUCAUAGAAAAUCUCACUUUAGAGAAUUUCCUUAACCUUUCUCAUUUAAGAAUGGUUGCUGCAUCCAUGAGUACUAGCAGUCCCCCAAAAUAUGCAACAAUUUCAUCGAAAAUAAAUGCUCCCAUCCAAUUCCAAUCUGAUGAAAGAAAGAGGUUAGCACGUUUAAUUUGUGGCAGGUAAUAAAUUAAAUGGAAGAAAUUAGGUUUGGUAAUUAGUUGAUUAACUUGUAGUGCUAGGGUUUUGUCUUCUCACUGUGGAGAGUAACAAUAACGACGGACUGGUCUCCCAAAGACAUCAAUGUGCAUCGCCAGAUAUCAUAGGAAUGGUCGUUCCAAUUUCUGAACGCCAAUGAAAACGUCAAACGCUUUACGAUGAACCAUGCACAGGAGAAAAUUUUAAUUGUGAUGGGAACAUAUGUGGUUCACUACGUGUUUUCUAUUGUUUUAAUAGAAGUGGUGAGAAUUUUUAUUUUUUAAGUUAUUAACUUUUUAGCAAACAUAUCCCACCAUUUGUAUAAUAACACGUAGUGUACCUCCCCGUGUAUCGAUCACAUUGAAAAAUCUCUCCAUGCAUAGAGCCACAACCCACACCCUUCCCUUCUUUUCCAGUUCUUCCAUAUGUUUGUUUCUAUCGCUAGCUAGCCUGCUUGGCUUCCACUAAUCCUUAUGUGUGUGUUUGAGACUGCUUCUGUAAAUUUAUAAGUGGGUAUUGGGUAUAGAAGUGCCUUUUUCAUAAGCACUUGGGGCUGUCGUUCUGAAUGUUUUGAGCUAGAAAGGUUCUUUUUAUUAUGUUUGACAAAAAAACUUGAGGCAUGUUUGAGACAGCUUCACGAAGGGGUAAAAAUUAUUUAUGAUAACUAAAGGUGUUUAUGACUACGUACGUUUGACAAAAAACUUAAAUGUGCUUAUGAAUUGUAGAAUGUUUUCUCAAAAAGCAUAUGAAGAAGCACUUCCAACUCUUUUUUUAGAAAUUUGGAAUUUCAAUAAAAAUUCAUUGUAUCUCUAAUAAAACACUUCUUGUAAGUGUUUUCUAAAGAAUCAAAUCCAAACGAGCCUUAUUAGUUUGUAUAUGCGAUUAUGGUUUUCUUAUAGCAUUUGUAGCAUAAGCACUUAUGAACAAUAAAUACUUCCUACAGAAGCAGCCAACGAGCAGAGAAAGCCCAUUGUCCUAUGAAGAGUAGCAACUAUGAAUUUCAAAAUGCGCUUAUGAGCAAAAGUGCUUCCUACAACAACAGUCCCAAAAUAUUUAACCUGCUACGAAUAAAAGUGUUUACAAGCAUAAAGUGUUUCCUGCACAAGCGGUUCUAAACCAACCCUAGUUAUUUAAUCCAUGAGAAACAAAUUAAAAGUUAAAAACAAAUUAUAAAUGUCACUCAAUACUACGGUCUGGUGAUAAUACUCUUCACUUGGAAGUGAGAGGUCUUAGGUUCGAAUUUCGUGGAUGGUGAAUUCGAUAACAAAUUAAACUGUUCAUUUUGUGGCUUAACCAAACUUCUCCUCCUCUUAGUGUAAAUAUAUCGAAGCACGAAAAAAAAAAUUACAAAGAGAUUAAAUUCAUCCAUCCACAAACAGACGUUUAGCUAAUCGCCAUUAAUCCCACUCUCCCACCACGAGCAACCCUCUCGCCACCCUCCCUCCCUCCCACCUUUUCCUUCUCGGUUCUGGAAAAAACCAGAUGCUUCCAAACGACAUAACUUCGACGUACUAAUAUUAUUUAAACUAGCUUACCACUUGGGACCUCGUGUUUUGCUUUGAAGUACUUCGAGCUAGAGAGAGAAAGACACACUGAGUCAGAGAGAGAUUAAGAGAGAGAAAGACUGGAGAGAUUUAAGAGAGAAGAAGGAAUCCCAAAGCCGCUGUCCCAAUCUUUACACCGUUAUCUGCUUGGGACAUUGCAAUCCCCCUUGUUCCUCCCAUUGCCGAGAUCCCAUUUUUAUUAUAUCGGUCCAAUCCAUGAAGAAACCCGAACAUCAAACACCUUCCUCUCUCUUUGUCCCAGUACUAUUUAGUCCCGUUAGGUCCUCCAGGAUCUCCAAUAAUCUUCCCAAUGGCUACUUGUGCUCUUCUCGGUGACAAUGGCGGCGAUCGCAUCAGCGGUAAUGGCAGUAGUAACAACAACAAUAGCGAUAGCCUCGGUGGCGGUGGAGGAAACCCUUCUUACCCCAUGAACAACAGCACUACCAAUUCCAACAGCAGCAGCGUCGGGCAGCAGCCACCCAAGAUGGUGAGAAAGCGAAUGGCGUCUGAGAUCGAAGUCCAAACCACCCUGACAAGCAGAACCGCCGGUUCGGACUAUUUCAGGCUCUCCCGCCGCGGGAUUAUUAAUAAUAGUCCGCCAGUCCAGCCGGUUAAUCAAAAUCCAAACGCCAGUAAAGUGAAUAGUAGUAUGUUUUAUCCCAACCACUCCACUAUGCAGUUACCAGUACCAUCUUCCACAAAUUUUGCCGCUUUGACGUCACCUGGUGGGGCUUUAUUGUCACCUACUUCUCCUUCUCCUUCUCCUUCUUCCGCUGCAGCAGCCGGCACCUGGGGUCCUAUCGAUCCAUUGUCUUUUCAUCGUCCUCUUCCGGUUCAGCCGACGACGACCUCCCAGACCACUACUACUCCUGCCGUUUGUGGGUUUUCAGGCCUGCCGUUGUUUCCGCCAGAAAAGACUACGCCUUUGAAUACUAGUAUUACUGCUACUACUCCGUCGUCCGUGUCCAUGGAAGAUGGGUCCUCCGCCGCCACGGCGUGGAUAGACGGGAUCAUAAAGGACCUCGUCCACAGCUCCACCAACGUCUCCAUCCCCCAGCUCAUUCAUAAUGUUAGGGAGAUUAUCUUCCCUUGCAACCCCAGCCUCGCCGCUCUUCUAGAGUAUAGACUCCGGUCAAUAUCCGAGCCGCUGCCGCCGCCUCCUCUGCCUCUUCCAGUUCCAAGCUUUAAUCCAACCCCAAUCCCGGACAUAAGGAGGAGACAACAAGGUGGUCCUGGCCCUGGGGCUUUUAAGCUCAAUAUGGACUCCGGUGCACUACAAGACGUUGCAAUCUUCAACCCAUCAACGGUGGAAAACAAUGACUUGUACUUGCAGUCGUGGUCUGGAGGAGCUGGCGGAGGAGGAGUUGGGCUGUCCCUACCCCAACCCAACCCUACUCCUGCCCCUAUCACCUGCAACCAAACCAACCCACAUCACCAAAGCCCUUCCUUCAAUCAGGCAAUUCAUCAAACACAAGACAAGCAGUUAGAAAACUCUUCACCAUCCUCCCCUGCGGCGGAGGCCACCACCCCAACAGUUGCACCCGCACCCACAACCACCCCCGCCACUGCCCCGCCAGAACCAACAACCUCAGCAGUAUCCCUACUCAGAGAGAAAAAAGAAGAGAUGCGGCAGCAAAAGCGAGACGAGGAAGGCCUCCACCUCCUCACCCUCCUCCUCAAAUGCGCGGAGGCCGUCUCCGCCGACAACUUCGACGAAGCCACAAAAAUCCUCCUCGAAAUCUCGGAGCUCUCCACCCCGUUCGGCACCUCCGCCCAGCGCGUCGCCGCCUACUUCUCUGAAGCCAUGUCGGCCCGCCUCGUCAGCUCCUGCCUCGGCAUCUACGCCUCCCUCCCUCGCUCCUCCGUCCCCACCACCCACACACAAAAAAUGGUAUCCGCCUUCCAAGUCUUCAACGGCAUCAGCCCCUUCGUCAAGUUCUCCCACUUCACAGCCAAUCAGGCGAUCCAGGAGGCGUUCGAGCGGGAGGACAGGGUUCACAUCGUCGAUCUCGACAUAAUGCAGGGUCUCCAAUGGCCCGGGCUGUUUCACAUCCUGGCCUCCAGGCCGGGUGGGCCUCCGUACGUGAGACUCACCGGCCUCGGAACCUCCAUGGAGGCCCUAGAGGCCACAGGGAAGCGGUUGUCCGACUUCGCGGACAAGCUAGGGCUUCCAUUUGAGUUCUUCCCCGUGGCGGAGAAAGUUGCGAACUUGGACCCGGAGAGGCUGAAUAUCAGCAAGAGAGAGGCUGUGGCGGUGCAUUGGCUUCAGCAUUCGCUUUACGACGUCACGGGUUCCGAUUCCAGCACGCUCUGGCUUUUGCAGAGGUAACGUCUCUUCAAUCCUACACAGUCCAAUCCACUGCAAUCCGAUUCCAACACGCUCAGACCUUUACCACUUUUUCUGGUUAAUAUAUAUCAUGAAAAAUUCGAACUGGGUUUCUUUUGGGUUGCACUUUUUGAUGUCUUUGAUCGAUGUUGGUGAUCAAAGUAUCAAACUUUAUUAAGCACUAUUGCACUAGCUAGCGCUGACUAAUUAUUUAACAAAUAGUGAUACAUUGGGUUUAGAUCAACCGCAACUUUCAUGCACUUUCCAAAUCUAGUAACUGCAAAAAGCUGCACCUUCGUAGUGGGCAAGAAGCAAAAAUUAAAGAUUUGAUACUUUUUCUUUUAUUCCGUUCAUUUCUGAUCUUUAAAUUGAAAAAGUUGAAGCAGAUAAAAUUAGAAUUAAACAUAAGUGUGCUUAGGAGAAAUGAGUGUUCGAAAAUAAUUUUUCGUGUUUUAAUCAACGGCAAUAUUCAAACUUGGAUACAUUUCGGUACAAGGGUCGGACUAUGUCUCAUGUCUGCAUGUUUUAUUAAAUAUUACAAUGCACAUGUUAUAUAUAUUGUUUUUUUUAUGUUUCUGUUACUGUAUAUUGAUUCAGAUUGGCGCCAAAAGUGGUAACGGUGGUGGAGCAAGACCUGAGCCACGCGGGUUCGUUCUUGGGCCGGUUUGUGGAGGCCAUACACUACUACUCUGCCCUGUUUGAUUCCUUGGGAGCGAGCUACGGCGAGGAGAGCGAGGAGAGGCACGUGGUGGAGCAGCAGCUGCUCUCCAGAGAGAUUCGUAACGUUUUGGCAGUGGGCGGGCCGUCGAGGAGCGGAGAGGUGAAGUUCCACAACUGGAGGGAGAAGUUUCAGCAGACCGGGUUCAGGGGGAUUUCCCUGGCGGGAAAUGCUGCAAAUCAGGCCGCCUUGCUGCUCGGGAUGUUCCCUUCCGAUGGGUACACUCUGGUGGAGGACAAUGGGACUCUUAAACUGGGGUGGAAGGAUCUCUGCUUGCUCACCGCUUCUGCAUGGCGGCCGCCCUUUCAUGCCGCUGCUAAUCCAAACCUACACUAUUGAGAUGCUUUUGCCCAUGUAUGUAUGAAUACGAUGCUUGGCGUCGGCGGUUGAUGAGUUUGAAUGUAUUAUCUUGUUGUGCUUACCCUACUUUAAUCUUUUUUAGUUGAAAUUGAUGUUGAGUUUUGGAAGAAAACUUGGGUUUGGGGCCUAUGGGCCUUGGGGAGGGAGAGGCUAGGCCUUCUACGUUUAUGUUCGAAAAUUAUUUAUCGCACUUUUUUUUUUUUUAUCAGUGAGCGGUUGAGAUUUAACUAAAUAAGCUAUAGUUAAAUCUCAACCUUUCCUAUUUUUUUCUUCUUUCUAAAAUAAUGCUCAGGUGAGACUUGCUCUUGCUCCGAAAGGCUUUAAACCAUUGCCAAAAACUCUACAUUGUUGCAUCGCCUUGCAGUCGAGUAUGUAUCUUAGUCCUAGUGUGGUUCGAUGAUCCUCUGGGACCAACUACUGAUCAUUUUUAAUAGAGAAAUACUACCAAACUAAUAAUUCAACGUUCAAUGCCCUAUUUACAAAACAAACGUGUUAUGUUUGAUUCAACACCACCCAGGGGAAUUUGGAACACUAGUCUUUUUUGGGAGCCCUAGUAACAUUUGCAAUAACUUUUGCAUUUAGACCUUUUCACUUUUAUCAAAUAUUAUGUAUCAUUUUGUACAUAAAAACAAGACAUUUUAAUCAUUUCAGCUAGGGAUUAAAGAUGCAAAGCAUAAAAUAUAAUUUCAAAGACAUUAAAUGUCUGGUUUUUGUGUAAAAAAUAACACGACGUUUAAUAAAGUAAAACUGUCUAAAUGUAAAGAUAAGUGCAAAGGUUGCAUUUCUCAAAAAAAAAAAAAAAAAAAAAACCAAGAUUUAAAAAAGGCCUAAUUGGAUAAAUGGUCCCCGUGGUCAUAAGGUAUUCGGAUGAUAGCCCCUGUGGUAAAAAAAUUCGGAUUUAAACCCCUGUGGUCUAAGUCUGUUAGGAUUUAAACCCAUGUGGUCUAAAUCUGUUAGGAUUUAAACCUUUCUGUUAAAUAAUGCUGAUGUGGCUGCCACGUGGCUGCCAAAUGGCUGCCACGUGGCAAAAUAAUAAUUUUUAAUUUUUUUUUAAAAAAAACCUGAAUUAAAAAAAAAAAAAAAAAAAAAAAAAAAAAAAAAAACAAACAAACAAACCGGAUCUGCAAGAAGAAGAAGGAAGAGGGAGAGGGAGGAGGGCGCGAGGAGACGGCUCCGGCGAGGGGGGAGCUAGUCUCCGGCGGGAAGAAGAAGAAGAAGAAGAAGAAGAACAAGAAGAAGAAGAAGAAGAAGAAGAAGAAGAAGUCGCGCAGGGAGACCGGCGGGAAGAAGAAGAAGAAGGAAGAAGGAGAGGGAGGAGGGUCGCGCGGGGGAGAGGGCUCCG
rnacentral:lncRNA from 1 species